CAUGGCCACAGGGGUGGCCGGGACGAGCUCGGCCCGCUCCGCUCCGCUGCUGCUGCUGCUGGACUCCGGCCCGACCGGCCUCGUGGUCUCCCCUGCCUCCGCCACCGUGGGUCGCCUUCCCCCUCUCGAGCGGAGCGGCUCCACCAACCCCGCUAGCUCGCUCGCUCGCCGCGGUGCCGAGAGGGAGGGAGGGAGCGGGGGAGUGUGGGAUCGAGUGUGUGCGCCUGGCUGUGUGGCUCCCCCCGUGCUCGAGGGGUUGGGUGGGGGUGGGGUGGGUGGGUGCUUCGUUCGAGCUCGGUGCGCGGGGGCGGUGCUGUGGCCGGGCUGUGGGGCGGAGAGCUCACGUGUAAGUGGAGGUGACUUGGCUUGGACUUUGGACCUUUCCGUAGAUAACCGUGCAGUGCUGGCUGCCUGGCUGGCGAUGGUGUUGCAGGGAUCAUCACCCGGUUCACGCCAACUGGACGGUACAGCUGUGCAGAUACAUGAACAUUGAGAUGUGUGUCAAGAGGAGGGGCGAGGGGUGCUUGGCUCGAGUGACCGUUAACCGGACGGUUGGUACCAUGACCUAUACCUCCCGGGUUAACCUGCGGCUACACGGGUAACGAUGACGCCUUCUUUAGCUUAGGUCGACGACUGCCCCGCCAUGACGCGGUGGCGAUCGAUGGCCAAAUACAUUUGGUGGUUGGGGAUGUGGUCGGGGAGUGGGAAGAUGCAGAGUGGAAGGUGACAUGACAAUAACGGUGGAGAUGAUCAGAUGCAUGAGAGCCGAAGAUAUGUAAUGCGGCGAAGAAGGUGAAAAAGCAGGGUCUCAACAAGUAUCUAAGCAGCCGUUCAUGGCUUUUAGAAAUUCUUUCCAUUCAGUUCCUCGAGACUUUUCGACCAAUAUGGAACCCUUGUAUUUGAAUUUUGGAGCCGAGAAACAAGCGUAAGUUAGUGGCCGCCACGGAUUUUAUCCUUGCAGGCGGUAUCUAACCAUAUCGAUCAAUUUCGUGAGAUCAGACAUGUGUCUCACACUGUGCUUCCUCUCAAAUUUAAAAGCAGUAGGGGCUCCUUCCUUCCUCUACUGGUCCAACUAGUGGUCGGUGCCCAUAAGACAACAGGUCGCACUCUCAACAUAGUACGAGAUGUAUGUGUGUGUAUGUAAACAUCUAUGGUUGUAUUAUGUUUUUUUAUAAAGAGAGCUCCCUCUCCAAUUUCCAUAUAAAAGAAACCACAAUGUCUUGCAAGACUGCAAAGUAGGAACUACUAAACAUGGCUAAAGCUACUAUGAGAUAAGGAGCCAUCCCUCCCUCCCUCCCAACAGCUCACGUAGACAGGCUUUGCCCCGGCACAGGCGUCAGGGGAUGCUAACCUUAUUGGAGACAAACGAGACAGCCAAGUAUCAAAAACACACAAGGAAGGAUGCAAUGCCAUGUCUUAUUACAAAUACCAAACAAAAAGCAUAGAACAUGAAAGAGCAAGCUAUCUUAGAGAGAAGCAACUUCAUCUUUAUAUUCAGCUUCAUCAGGGAGGAAAUCAAGGAGCAGCAAGUCUUGACACUCCCGUUCUCCAACCAUGCACUGCUAUGAAGAUCUCCCUCGCAACCUACUCAACAUGCCUUACGCCCGGCGUCAUUCGCCUUAUUUUUUCUUGGUAUUUCUGCAACACAUUCCAAUCAUGUAACCACUUAAUAAUCAAAUUAACUGGAACGCAAGGAUCAGUGACCCUUCUAUUAUCAAAACAACUUUAUUUCUAGGUUUCCACAAAGUCUAGAAAAUAGCAGAAAUUCCUACUGUCAUGAGAUCCCUAUCAUUUUUCUCAAAUUUUCUGAUCCAAACCCCAAAUAGAUUUUGAUAUUCUCGGAAUGCCAUGCAUAGCAAAUGAGCAUUUCAUAACCAUCCACAACAUCCUGGCAACAGAAUAGUGGAAAAAGAGAUGAUUAAUAUCUUCUUCCCUCCCACAGAAGGAGCACUUACUAUCACCACGCCAUCCCCUCUUGAUUAAGUUGUCCUUAGUGAGGAUGCAUCCUCUUUGUGCAAGCCACAAGAACACCUUUACCCGAGGAGGCAUUUUGACAUUCCACGGAAAUUUAUGUGGGUACUUAACCCCGUUUUGUAUCAUGUAUCUAUAGCAUGAUUUAACAGCGUAUCUCCCAUUAUCCAUCAAAGUCCAACUAACUAUAUAUUUUUGUCAUUUAAAGUCACACUCUCACAAGCCUCUCUGAUACGAGUGCAGAGCUCCAAAGACUCCCCAAACAGAGACCUCAUUAAUAUUACUCAAACCCCCUUUCAAAACUACAACAGCUGAUUUGUUUUUGUCAAGGCAAAUAUUAUACAACCUAUGAUAACUAUCUUUUAGAGAUUUAGGUCCUAUCCACCAUGUUUGUGUUUCAAGAGCUCACUCGAAAAUUGUGAGUCUCCCCCCACCCCCGGUGUUUGACACUUGCGAUGCAGAUAUUCUUAAUGUAUUUCCCUUUCAGCACCUCCUGCCAUAACCCUUUUGUGUUAUAAAUUUUCUGCCACCACCUGCAUAAUUAAGCUUUAUUCAUCAAAGCUAAAUUUUGUAUUCUCAGCCCACCCAUAUCCUUUGGUUUACAAACUUCAGACCAUUUAACUAAAUGAUAUAUUCUUUUCUUAUCAAUAAUCUGUUGCCAUAACAAUCUAGCCCUAAAGAAAUCCAUUCUCCUAUUCACCCCAACAGGCAACCCAUAAAAGGACAUCGUGAAGUAAGGUAUACCGGUCAAAGAAGAUUGGAUCAAGGUAAUUCUGCCAGCACUAGCCAACAAUCUACCUUGUCAAGUAUCACAUUUUUCUCCAUUUUCUCUUUUGGAGGUUUCCAAUGUUUAUUUCUAAUACUUUCUUAUCAAUAGGAAGACCCAGAUAUUUCAGAGGAAGAUCACCUACUGGACAAGUAAUUUUUUUAGAAUACUCCUGUUUUUAUUAGCAACUUCACCAAAUAAAAACAAUUCACUUUUGUGAAAAUUGUUUUCUAGACCAGACAUCUGUUCAAAAAGGCACGCCAUGUAUUUAAAAUUAUGAGCAUUAUCAAAAUCAUCUUGCAUAAGGAAGAUGGUGUCGUCUGCGUAUUGUAACAUAUUGACACCACCCUCCAAACUCUCAGACAACAAACCUUGUAUCAAGCCAGCUUUUCUACCUUGUAUCAAGCCAGCUUUUCUAGCAUGAUUCAUUAAAACUGCCAAAGCAUUAACUGUCAAAUUGAACAUCACUGCCUCAUCCCUUUGUGAGUUGAAAAAUAAGAACCAUAAUUUUCAUUAACUAUGAUACAAAUAUUACCCCCUAAUGGUCCCCAUGAUCCAAUCAAUCCAUUUAUCACGGAAGCCUUUCCGUUUCAACAUCUGAAACACAAAAGCCCACUUUAUUUUAUCAUAUGCUUUUUCAAAAUCAACUUUGAAUAGUUAAGUGUCUCGUUUCUUAGUGUGCACACUAUUCAAAGCUUCAUGCAAAACCACGACCCAUCCAUUAUGUAUCUGCCUUCAAUAAAGGCAGUUUGACUUGCAGAGACUACCUCACCAGCAACCAUAUUAAGCCUAUUCAUCAAUACUUUAGUAAAGAUUUUGAAACUUAAAUUUAAUAUACAAAUUGGUCUAUAUUUUUUAACUUGAUUAGAAUCCUUACUUUUGGGGGAAAAGUAAUAAUCCUAUAGUUGAGCAUUUUAAUAUUCAAAUUCCCUUCAUAAAAGUCAUCAAACAUUCUCUUUAAAUCAUUUUUUAUCAAUUCUCAGAAGUGUUGAUAAAAUUCAGACUAAAACCAUCAGGACCAGGUGAUUUGUUAUGGGCCAUCUGGAACACAGCUUUUUUAAUCUCAUCCAAUGAAAACUCACUUAUCAAUGCUUCUUUAGCAAGUAGAGGCAUAAUUGCAGGAUCAUCAAUAUUUAAAGAAAUAUGUGACACCCUAGGGUGCCCAAAUAAGUUCUUAUAAAAACUGGUAAUAUAAUCCAGUAGUUGCUUCCCCGUCUAUCUUCCCCUUAUCCUUGUCUAAGAUAGUAAUUUUAUUCCUCCUAUGUCUUCCAUUAGCUUUAGCAUGGAAGUAUUUAGUAUUGCAAUCACCAAUUAAAAUAUCAUCAAUCUUAGCCCUCUAUUUCAAUUUAGCCUCUUCUUGCCUUAGGAGUCUAUCAAGUUGAGCCCUGAGCUCCAUCUGCUCCACCCUGUCAGCAUCAGUUAGACCAUAUACCUCACAUUGUUUAUCUAUUCUAUCCAGUGUACUCAAAAUCUUCUUUUUAAGCUCUCUAUACCAAGCAUUAAUGUUUCUAUUCCACCCUCUCAACUUUGGCCUCAAACAUCUUAACUUUGCUUGCUAGUUGUCCAAGCUAGAAACAUUAGAGCCUGUACAGUUCCAUACUUUUUUAACCAACUAAUUAAGCCCUUCUCUGGGGAACCAAGAAUUUUCAAACCUAAAAAUUGGGUCAGUCUUGACCACAUCUCCAAUAUCAAGCAACAAUGGAACAUGGUCAGAUUUCUCUUUAAACAAAGUAGAAACCUCAGUCAAAGGAUAUGUUUCUUCCCAUUCCACACUACAUACGAUCCUAUCAAGCUUUUCAAAAGUAGGUUGAGGUAAAAUAUUUCCCCAAGUAAAUUUUCUACCAUGUAUAUCAAGCCCCUCACACCAGCUUGCUCAAGAAUAACAUUAAACAAAAAACUCCAAUGACCCGGGGUAUCAGGUGAAAGCACAAGUGCUCCCUAGGUGAUUUUGGUAAUUAAUGUCAACAUAUCUCUUGUUGGACUAACACCUUUACCUAGUAUAUUUUCAGAUAAGUUCAACAAUGAAGUGGCAUGAACUAAUGGAUGUGGAACCCCUUCAAGAUGCUAAGGAUAAAAGGAUUGGCUCAAGCUUCAAGCUCAAGACUCUACAUUUUAUACUUUUGUGAUCCAAGAUCACAUUGAGUCUAUAGGAAAAGCCAAUACUAUCAAGAAGGGAUGAGGUGUUGCUUAAUGAGUUUCUUGCUUCAUAGUGCUUAGUGAUAUGCUCCAAAACCCUCAACUACUUUCCCACAUCCACCUAUGACCUACACCUAAAGUCCAACUCGGCCCCACCGAUUCUUUCUAUCCGGAGCCACCGAGUUCAGAUGUCAUAGCCACUGCCACAAACCCUAAGCAAAUCGGUCUCACUGAUAGGGAUCUCGGUCUCACCGAGAUGGGAUUGUAAUCUCUCUGUGUAUGUCCAUUAUCAAAAUCGGUCUCACCGAGUUUGAGUAAUCGGUCCUACCGAGAUUACAAUGCAAACUCUCUGUUUCCUUUUUGUAACAUUUCGGUCCCACCGAGAUGAGCAAAUCGGUCACAUCGAGUUUGCCUGACCAACUCUCUGGUUAGCUUAUUACCAAAAUCGGUCUCACCGAGUUUGUGUAAUCGGUCUCACCGAGAUUAUGUUAUGCCCUAACCCUAACCAUAUCGGUCCUACCGAGUUGCAUAUCAGUCCCACCAAAAACCCUAACGGUCACAUUGUUUACUAAAUCAGUCUGACCGAGUUUGUUGAUUCGGUCCCACCGAGAUUGGUAAAUUGUGUGUAACGGUUAGAUUUUGUGUGGAGGCUAUAUAUACCCCUCCACCUCCUCUUCAUUCAUGGAGAGAGCCAUCAGAACAAAUCUACACUUCCAACUUACCGUUUCUGAGAGAGAACCACCUACUCAUGUGUUGAGACCAAGAUAUUCCAUUCCUACCAUAUGAAUCUUGAUCUCUAGCCUUCCCCAAGUUGCUUUCCACUCAAAUCUUCUUUCCACCAAAUCCAAAUCCUAUGAGAGAGAGUUGAGUGUUGGGGAGACUAUCAUUUGAAGCACAAGAGCAAGGAGUUCAUCAUCAACACACCAUUUGUUACUUCUUGGAGAGUGGUGUCUCCUAGAUUGGCUAGGUGUCACUUGGGAGCCUUCGACAAGAUUGUGGAGUUGAACCAAGGAGUUUGUAAGGGCAAGGACAUCGCCUACUUCGUGAAGAUCUACCGCUAGUGAGGCAAGUCCUUCGUGGGCGACGGCCAUGGUGGGAUAGACAAGGUUGCUUCUUCGUGGACCCUUCUUGGGUGGAGCCCUCCGUGGACUCGCAUAGCCGUUACCCUUCGUGGGUUGAAGUCUCCAUCAACGUGGAUGUACGAUAGCACCACCUAUCGGAACCACGGCUCAAAAAUCACCGUGUCUCCAAAUUGCGUUUGAAAUCUCCAAACCCUUCCCUUUACAUUCUUGCAAGUUGCAUGCUUUACUUUUCGCUGCUCAUAUACUCUUUGCAUGCUUGCUUGAAUUGUGUUAAGAUUGCUUGACUUGUGCUAAGUUUGCUAAAAUCUGCCAAAGACUAAAAUUGGGAAAAGGUUAAGUUUUUAUUUGGUAAAGUAGUCUAAUCACCCCCCCCCUAGACAUACUUCUAGAUCCUACAAGUGGUAUAAGAGCUCCGGUCUCCAUUGCUUUGGUUUAAUCACCAUUGGAGGAAGAUGGAUGAGUCUACUUUGGGGAGUCUUAGACAUAGAGUACCUAUACUUGAUGGAGAAUAUUUUCAUGAGUGGAAAAAUGAUAUGCUUGUAAUUUUCAAUCAAUAUCAUUUAAACAAGUACAUUGCUAGUCCUUGUGCACCUCAUGUUGAUCCUAUGCAUCCUACCCUUGAUGAGUCGACUGACAUGAUUAGGAAUGUUAGAACUGUUAAUCUUAUCACUAGAGGCUUGCCUAGAAACUUGAUUGGAAAACUGCCUACUCUUGAGUGUGCCUACACUAUAUGGAAAUUUCUUGAGGAACGAUUUCCUAAUUAUUCUUUGAAAAAUCUGGAUGAAAUUCUUCAUAAGUCUAUUGCCUUGAGUAAGAUGAAUUCCAAUGAUCCUAUGUUUGGUAAUUGUCUAUUUGAACUUACAAAUCUUAUGCGUGCCAAAGGAAAUGUUGGAAUUAUUAGCGAUAUUAUUUCCUAAGCUACUAGACUUCAUAAAGGAGAUCAUUGUCAAACUCAUACUAAUGAAUCACCCUCACUAGGAAUUGAUCCACCACAUGACGAUGUUGAACUUGGAUACUAUGAUGAGGAUGAUGAUGAUGACUUCGAUCUUGAUGAUGAAAUGAGACACUUGGGUCUUAUGGCAAAUCUUCGAGGAUAUAUGGCAGGAGGAAAGGAAUGGGUUCUUGACAGUGGAUGUACCGAUCACAUGACCGGAGUAAAGACAUGUUCCGUGAACUUGCUGAAAAUGAUGGUCCUCGAAAGUAUGUCACUUUCGGUGACAACUCAAAGGGUAAGGUGGUUGGCCUCGGUAAGGUGGCCAUCUCACAUGAUAGUUCCAUUCAAAAUGUUAUGCUCGUUGAAUCUCUUGGCUACAACUUACUUUCAAUAUCUAGACUUGCUGAUUUCGGUUUCAAUGUCCUAUUUACUGAAGUAGAUUGCCAAGUGUUUCGUAGAGACAAUCAUAAAAUGGUCUUUACCGGUAUACGUAGAGGUGAUAUUUACAUUGUUGAUUUCACUAAAAAAGCUCAACCUAGAACUUGCUUCAUUGCUAAAUCUUCUAAAGGUUGGUUAUGACAUAGACGAUUAGGUCACAUUGGCAUGCGAAAUCUUGACAAGCUUAUUAAAGGGAAUCAUAUCCUUGGUGUUAACGAUGUCAUAUUUGAUAAGGAUAGACUUUGCAGUGCUUGUCAAGCAGGUAAACAGGUUGGAGGAAGGCAUCUCGUGAAGAACAUCAUGACCACAAGGAGGCCACUUGAGCUACUUCACAUGGAUCUCUUUGGUGCCAACGCUUACAAAAGUCUCGGUGGAAAUUCUUCUGGUCUAGUUAUAGUUGAUGAUUUUUCAAGAUUUACGUGGGUGUUCUUUAUCGAUGACAAAUCACAGGUCCAAAAGAUCUUCAAAAACUUCGCCAGGAAGGCUCAAAAUCAGUUUGAAGUGAAGAUCAAGAAGGUUCGUAGCGACAACGGAACAAAGUUCAAAAACGCAAUUGUGGACACCUUUCUUGACGAAGAAGGGAUUUCACAUGAGUUCUCGGCUACGUACACACCUCAACAAAAUGGAGUUGUUGAGAGGAAGAACCGGACGCUCAUCAAAAUGGCAAGAAUGAUGCUUGAUGAGUACAAGACGCCGAAGCACUUUUGGGCAGAAGCGGUUGAGACAGCUUGUCAUGCAACAAAUCACUUGUAUCUUCACAAGCUACCCGGCAAGACGGCAUACGAGCUCCUCACCGGUAACAAACCCCAAGUUUGAUACUUUCGAGUAUUCGGCUCAAAGUGCUACAUUCUUGAUAAGCAUCGUCAUUCUAAAUUUGCUCCCAAGUCUCAUGAAGGUUUCCUACUUGGUUAUGGCUCAAAUUCUCACACUUACCGUGUCUACAACAAUUUCACCCGAAAGGUUGAAGAAACGGUAGAUGUGAAGUUUGAUGAAUCUAACGGCUCGCAAGUAGAGCAAUUGCCAAUUGAUGUAGGAGACAAAGACCCCUCGGAAGCAAUCCAAGACUUGUCUAUUGGCAAGAUUCGUCCAACAGAAGUGAAGGAGAGUACAUCGUCCAUCCAAGUGGAAGCUUCUACCUCAUGACAAGGUGAACCAAGAGUUGAUACGGAAGCAUCCACAAGUGGGACUCACCAAGAUGAAGAAAACGAGGAAGUACAUCAAGAACGUCAACAAUCUCCCUCUCCACAACGACAAGAGAACGACAAUGCCAAUAAUGAAGAAGGCUAAGAAGAAGAAGAAGAUGUUCAACCAAGACCCAAGAAAAAGCUUUCACAAGUUCGAGCAAGAAUUUCUAAAGACCAUCCCAUCGAGCAAAUCUACAACGAUAUCCAAACCGGGAGAAUCACUCGCUCUAAAAGUCGUUUAGCUAACUUUUGUGAACACUUUUCAUUCAUCUCUAGCAUUGAACCUAUGAAGGUUGAAGAAGCAUUGGAAGAUCCGGAUUGGAUAAAUGCUAUGCAUGAAGAGCUACACAACUUUGAGAGGAAUCAAGUUUGGACAUUGGUUGAGAAGCCCUACGACAACCACAACAUCAUCGGUACCAAAUGGGUGUUUCGCAACAAGCAAGAUGAAGAUGGACAAGUAGUUCGCAACAAAGCACGUCUCGUCGCCCAAGGCUACACACAAGUCGAAGGUAUGGACUAUAGUGAGACUUAUGCUCCCGUUGCUAGACUUGAAUCCAUUCGCAUCUUACUUGCCUAUGCUAAUCACCAUGAUAGAGGAGGAAGUUUAUGUUAAACAACCGCCCGGCUUUAUCAAUCCUAAGAAACCCAAUCAUGUCUACAAACUUCGCAAAGCUCUUUAUGGUCUUAAACAAGCUCCUAGAGCUUGGUACAAAUGCUUAACCAAGUUCCUUAUUGAAAAGGGGUUUGAAAUUGGGAAAAUUGAUUCUACACUUUUUACCAAAAGGGUUAAUGGAGAAUUAUUUGUAUGCCAAAUUUAUGUUGAUGAUAUUAUAUUUGGAUCAAUUAACCCUCAUUUUAGUGAGAAGUUUGGAAAGCUAAUGUCGGAGAAGUUUGAGAUGUCAAUGAUGAGUGAACUCAAAUUCUUUCUUGGGUUGCAAAUCAAGCAAACUAAGGAAGGUACUUUUGUCUCUCAAACGAAGUACACUAAGGACUUAUUCAAGAAGUUCAAUAUGCAAGAAUGCAAAGGUAUGUCUACACCCAUGCCUACUAGUGGACAUCUUGAUUUGACCAAAGAUGGUGAACCGGUUGAUCAAAAGGUUUGUCGCUCUAUGAUUGGUUCAUUGUUAUACCUAUGUGCUUCACUACCCGAUAUUAUGCUAAGUGUGUGCAUGUGUGCACGAUAUCAAGCUGCACCUAAAGAAUGUCACCUUAAGGCCGUGAAAAGGAUAGUGAGAUACUUAAUUCAUAUGCCAAAUUUUGGCAUUUGGUAUCCUAAGAGGGCCUCUUUCAAUCUUGUUGGGUACUCCGACUCGGACUAUGCCGGAGACAAGAUUGAUAGAAAGUCCACUUCGGGUACUUGUGAAUUCCUUGGUAGAUCUCUUGUGUCUUGGUCUUCCAAGAAACAAAACUCGGUAUCCUUAUCCACCGCCGAAGCGGAAUACAUAGCCGCUGGUUCAUGUUGUGUUCAAUUACUUUGGAUGACCCAAACUCUUAAAGAUUAUGGGAUAUAUGUGAAACAUGUUCCAUUACUUUGUGACAAUGAAAGUGCUAUCAAGAUUGCUCAUAAUCCCGUGCAACAUUCUCGAACUAAGCAUAUUGAAGUUGGUCAUCAUUUCAUUCGAGAUCAUGUUGCCAAAGGGGACAUUGAUUUUAAGCAUGUUCGCACCGAAAACCAAUUAGCGGGCAUUUUCACUAAACCACUUGAUGAGAAAGUGUUUUGCAGGUUGAGAGGAGAAUUGAAUAUCAUUGAUGCUUCAAACUUGGAGUAGGAACUCCAUUUGAUACAUGCAAGACAUAUGCUUAUGACUAAUCCUUGAUAUUUCUCUUAUGAUGAAAAAAUUACAUCUUGGAUAUAUUUGCAUCUUGCAUGUCAUCUAACCUUUGUAGGAACUUGGAGGAAUCUAAGUCUAUGAGAUUGCAACACACUCACAUAUUGAGCAAUCUCAACAUCUCCAAAGUCUCUACAUAAUGGUGGUUGAAGACAAGGAAGCACAAAUCCAUACACACAUAUCCUUUGACAAAUUCUAUGUUUAGUUUCAUGUUUGUCAUUUUGGAUACACAAGUGCUCUUCCUUGCAAAAACUAACCCAUGUAGCAGGACGAACUCAAAUUCCAAGUGGUGCUCCCAACUCUUGAUAAGCUACAUCAACCAUGAGCAACCCACACAAGUUCAACUACAUGAACGAUCAACAUCACCACCCAAGGUAUGUUUUUCCAUCUUAGAGAAGCUUUACUCCAAGACAUGACUUAAAGUAACUCGACAAGAUGUGAAAACAUCAAGAUGCUUAAAUGAAAAGUGGAAACCCCAUUUUGAGCUUAAACAAUGAGUAUGACCUAUGAUCAAGUGAACUCACUUGACUCCUAAGUCAAUAUACUCUAACAUAGGUGACCUUGUCGCCGACCAAUUCUAGAUGAAGUUCUCUCGUGUUCUUUUCUGUGCUCUUGCAUUUAUCUCUUGCAUAUUUGUUUCCCCUUUCAAAAAAAAACUUCAUCUAGAUUUCUUUUAAAUUUUCUUCUAGUUUACUGUCUGUUCGGCAUUUCCUGCAUUCAAUUCAUCUAAUUCCUUGCAAAUCCUUGUGAGAUCUUACUUGUCUAGUGAGCUGAGGUGACAAGUGUUUUCUCUAUGAUGAAAUCGGUUCCACCGGUUUGUCAUUUUCGGUCCCACUGAAACCGCUCGGUGCUACCGAAGAAUACAACUCGGUGCUACCGAUCUCUCUACAGGAAAAACUACCUGCCACUUACUUCUGUGAUUCUUUUGAUCCAGCUCCACUCAAUGAAUCUUGUCCUCUACCAGCAUCAUAUUUUUCUUACUGCUUUGACUUGUGACUCAAGGACCAAACCUACGUGACUACACAUCCACAAGAUCCUUCUUGGAAAUUGAUGUCAAAGGGGGAGAGAGAGAUCACAUCAAAAGCUUUAUCUAUAGAGAGAGAUCACAUCAACUUUAUCAUAUCUCUAGGGGGAGAAAAUACUCAAGGAAAGAGAAGAGUAAUCUUCAAUGAUCCCAGAUGCUUGGUGUUCAAGACGAGAGAUGUUACAUGUCUUCUAGAGGGGAAAGACAUGUUCACAUGUGCUAAAUUGCUUUAGCUCUGUUUUUCUGUUCCCUAUCUUCUCCCAGUAUCCCAUGCUAGAUUCAGGGGGAGCAAGAUACUCAAGGGAAAGAAAUUCUUUAAAUUCAUUGCAUAACUUUAUCUUUGGGGACAUGUCUAAUACAAUGUGGUACCUGGUACUCACUCUCUACAUGUCAUCCCAGUCUUGGUAUUCUUGUGGUUUCUUCUCGUUUGCUCUAGCUAGUAGAUGCAUCUAUGUUAUCUAACCUUAUUUUCACAGGUUCACUCCAUCCCAAGCCAACUCAAGACCACAAGGUAAGUAUAUGCAUCACAAUCAUGUGUAUGAGAAAUUCUUGCUGAUGUACAUACUGUUUGCAAGAAGGACUCAUGAGCAUGAAGGUACAUUUCCCAUAAUUCUUCGCUCUGAUGCAUAUAGCCAAGAUACAUGUAACACAUUGCCUACUCUAUCAUGCUUAUGCAUUCACAUGCUCCUAUAUUCCAUAUUCACGUGAUUGCAUACAUGUAGGGGGAGCCUAUGCUUGUUACAUGUCCUUCCAAGGCUUUACUUGUUAUUGUAGUUAUCCUCUAUCUAAAGCUUUGAUGUAUGUUGUCAUCAAUUACCAAAAAGGGGGAGAUUGAAAGCACAAGUGCUCCCUAGGUGAUUUUGGUAAUUAAUGUCAACAUAUCUCUUGUUGGACUAACACCUUUACCUAGUAUAUUUUCAGAUAAGUUCAACAAUGAAGUGGCAUGAACUAAAGGAUGUGGAACCCCUUCAAGAUGCUAAGGAUAAAAGGAUUGGCUCAAGCUUCAAGCUCAAGACUCUACAUUUUAUACUUUAUUGAUCCAAGAUCACAUUGAGUCUAUAGGAAAAGCCAAUACUAUCAAGAAGGGAUGAGGUGUUGCUUAAUGAGUUUCUUGCCUCAUAGUGCUUAGUGAUAUGCUCCAAAACCCUCAACUACUUUCCCACAUCCACCUAUGACCUACACCUAAAUUCCAACUCGGCCCCACCGAUUCUUUCUAUCUGGAGCCACCGAGUUCAGAUGUCAUAGCCACUGCCACAAACCCUAGGCAAAUCGGUCUCACCGAUAGGGAUCUCGGUCUCACCAAGAUGGGAUUGUAAUCUCUCUGUGUAUGUCCAUUAUCAAAAUCGGUCUCACCGAGUUUGAGUAAUCGGUCCUACCAAGAUUAAAAUGCAAACUCUCUGUUUCCUUUUUGUAACAUUUUGGUCCCACCGAGAUGAGCAAAUCGGUCACACCGAGUUUGCCUGACCAACUCUCUGGUUAGCUUAUUACCAAAAUCGGUCUCAUCGAGUUUGUGUAAUCGGUCUCACCGAGAUUACGUUAUGCCCUAACCCUAACCAUAUCGGUCCUACCGAGUUGCAUAUCGGUCCCACCGAAAACCCUAACGGUCACAUUGUUUACUAAAUCGGUCUGACCGAGUUUGUUGAUUCGGUCCCACCGAGAUUGGUAAAUUGUGUGUAACGAUUAGAUUUUGUGUGGAGGCUAUAUAUACCCAUCCACCUCCUCUUCAUUCGUGGAGAGAGCCAUCAAAACAAAUCUACACUUCCAACUUACCAUUUCUGAGAGGGAACCACCUACUCAUGUGUUGAGACCAAGAUAUUCCAUUCCUACCAUAUGAAUCUUGAUCUCUAGCCUUCCCCAAGUUGCUUUCCGCUCAAAUGUUCUUUCCACCAGAUCCAAAUCCUAUGAGAGAGAGUUGAGUGUUGGGGAGACUAUCAUUUGAAGCACAAGAGCAAGGAGUUCAUCAUCAACACACCAUUUGUUACUUCUUGGAGAGUGGUGUCUCCUAGAUUGGCUAGGUGUCACUUGGGAGCCUCCGACAAGAUUGUGGAGUUGAACCAAGGAGUUUGUAAGGGCAAGGAGAUCGCCUACUUCCUGAAGAUCUACCUCUAGUGAGGCAAGUCCUUCGUGGGCGACGAUCAUGGUGGGAUAGACAAGGUUGCUUCUUCGUGGAGCCCUCCGUGGACUCGCACAGCCGUUACCCUUCGUGGGUUGAAGUCUCCAGCAACAUGGAUGUACGAUAGCACCACCUAUCGGAACCACGGCUCAAAAAUCACCGUGUCUCCAAAUUGCGUUUGAAAUCUCCAAACCCUUCCCUUUACAUUCUUGCAAGUUGCAUGCUUUACUUUCUGGUGCUCAUAUACUCUUUGUAUGCUUGCUUGAAUUGUGUUAAGAUUGCUUAACUUGUGCUAAGUUUUUUAAAAUCUGCCAAAGACUAAAAUUGGGAAAAGGUUAAGUUUUUAUUUGGUCAAGUAGUCUAAUCACCCCCCUCUAGACAUACUUCUAGAUCCUAGACCAGGUUUAUUUUUUUCAGAAGCUUUCCUAAUAAUGUUAAAUUCCCUCCUAUUAGGAUGGGGUUAACACUAUCCUAAAAAAUCCUGGAGAGAUCUGCUAAAAAUUUAGCCUAGGUUGAGCAUCUCCAUACAUCACAACUAAAUCACAGAAAAAAUAGUUUUAACAUCCUGCAUUGUCAUCUUAAUAAAGUAUUCCUCAUCCUCUUGUGAAAUCACAUCCAUAGUAGUGUAAUUUUCUCCCAAUAGUAGACCACUAGAUUCCCCCUAUCUGGGACAUGAUGCCAAUGAAAAUCCCUCCUAGCACAAAUCCCUUGCAGAUCAUUUCUAGAAAAUUGUUCUCUCAUAGUUUCCUGUAACCCAAUGAAAUCCACCUUCAUAUCCAUCACCAUUUCUCUCUCAAAAAACUUAAUAUCACCCCCAAAACUUCUUAUAUUCCAAAAGAUCCCUCUCAUCUUUUUUAUUUUUCUUAACCGAUUGUUCAGAGUUUUUAAGAGCCAAAAUAGAUUUCCUUCAAGAAUUUCCGUCGGAUAUUUUUUUAUUUCCAUUCUUCUUAUUAGAGAACAUUUUUCUAAAUUGGUCCCAUCCUAUCUAUGCCAUCCCCACCAAUUCUUCAAUGUCAUGCUCCCAUGGUUCUAUUAGUGGGGUAGCAUUAGAUAAUAUACCUUGACUAUCACCCACACCAUUCUUUUUAUUAUUACUAGUUAACCAGAGAUCUAUUCUAACUUUUCAACCAUUUUAAUUAGAUUGAUGCUAUGUUCAAUCUUAUUCUAUCGUUUGCCAAGUCCACUCCCACAUUCACAGCGACACCAUGUAAAAAUUCCUUAGAAGACAAUAAUAAAUUGGGAACAUCUUUCUUACCAUAAUUUUCCUUCUCUGCAGCCCUCUUCAUAGCAAGUUCCGCAAUGUUACAAUCCUCUUUUCUCUUAUUCUUGUCACUUUUUAUGUACAUAUUUAGACUCUUAGUAUCAAGUUCACCCCUCUCUUCCUUCUUGACCGUCUCAAAGGACUCCUGCUCCCGACUGGCAUUGUAUUCAACUCGUUCUAUAUAUUCAUCUCCAAAAUCCCCACCACCCAGCUCUUCCAGUUGCUUGUCAAUGUCAUUAAUGUUAUCGAAAGUUUCUUGUUCCCCUUCCUCAACAAGGACCUUUUCCUCCUCAUACUACUUAAUAGUAGUUUGUGACCCUCCAACUUUCUCAAAUCUCCUCAUAUUGCUCAAAACUCCUCAAAUUCUAUUGCAGGAGUUCAUGUUGCCUCUUGAUCUCUCUUUCCAAUCCUAUUUUCUAUUGGGAAACGUAGCAUGCAAUUUCAAAAAAAAUCUUACGCUCACUCAAGAUCUAUCUAGGAGAUGCAUAGCAACGAGAGGGGGAGAGUGUGUCCAUGUACCCUCGUAGACCGAAAGCGGAAGCGUUUGUUAACACGGUUGAUGUAGUCGAACUUCUUCUCGUUCUGACCGAUCAAGCAUCAAACGUACGACACCUUCGAGUUCUACACAUGUUCAGCUCGAUGACGUCCCUCGAACUCUUGAUCUAGCAAAGUGUCGAGGGAGAGUUGCGUCAGCACGACGGUGAUGGUGAAGUGAUCCAUGCAGGGCUUCGCCUAAGCACUACGUGAAUAUGACCGGAGGCGUAAAUGUGGAAGGGGGCGCCGCACACGGCUAGGAAUCAAUGUUGUGUGUUCUAGCGGUGCCCCCCACAUAUAUAUAGGUGGGAGAGGGGCAGCAAGGGGUGCCCCAAGUAGGAGUAAUCCUACUUGGGUGCCUCCCACAAGUCGGUCUUCCCCCCUUCCAUAAGUGUCGGAGGAGGGAGGAAGGAGGAGGGGGAGGGAAGGAAGGGGGGGGCGAAUCCCUUGCCUUCCUUCUCUCUUCCCCCCUUUCCUUUCCCCCCCAAUUCGGCCUACAUGAGGGCGCACCGGCCCCUUAGGGGCUGUUCUAUCCUACUCUUGGCCCAUUAGGCCCAUGUAGUUUGCCGGGGGUUGCCCGGAACCCCUUCCGGUGACCCGAUACGUACCCGGUACCCCCGUAACACUUCCGGUGUCCGGAUACUAUCGUCCUAUAUAUGAAUAUUUACCUCUCGGCCAUUUCGAGACUCCUCGUCAUGUUCGUGAUCUCAUCCGGGACUCCGAACAACAUUAGGUCACCAAAUCACAUAACUCAUAUAAUACAAAUCAUCAUCGAACGUUAAGCAUGCGGACCCUACGGGUUCGAGAACUAUGUAGACAUGACCGAGACACCUCUCCGGUCAGUAACCAGUAGCGGAACCUGGAUGCUCAUAUUGGCUCCCACAUAUUCUACAAAGAUCUUUAUCGAUUGAACUGUUAUGACAACAUAUGUUAUUCCCUUUAUCAUCGGUAUGUUACUUGCCCGAGAUUCGAUCGUUGGUAUCUUCAUACCUAGUUCAAUCUCAUUACCAGCAAGUCUCUUUAGUCAUUCUGUAAUGCAUCAUCCUGCAACUAACUCAUUAGUUACUUUGCUUGCAAGGCUUCUUAUGAUGUGCAUUACCGAGAGGGCCCAGAGAUACCUCUUCAAUACUCGGAGUGACAAAUCCUAAUCUCAAUCUAUGCCAACCCAACAAACACCUUCGGAGAUACCUGUAGAGCAUCUCUAUAAUCACCCAGUUACAUUGUGACGUUUUAUAGCACACAAUGCAUUCCUCUGGUAUCCGGGAGUUGCAUAAUCUCAUAGUCGGAGGAAUAUGUAUUUGACAUGAAGAAAGCAAUAGCAAUAAAACUGAACGAUCAUAAUGCUAAGCUAACGAAUGAGUCUUGUCCAUCACAUCAUUCUCCUAAUGAUGUGAUCCCGUUUAUCAAAUGACAACACAUGUCUAUGGUUAGGAAACUUAACCAUAUUUGAUCAACGAGCUAGUCUAGUAGAGGCUUACUAGGGACACGGUGUUUUGUCUAUGUAUCCACACAUGUAUCAAGUUUCAGGUUAAUACAAUUCUAGCAUGAAUAAUAGACAUUUAUUAUGAUAUAAGGAAAUAUAAGAUAACAACUUUAUUAUUGCCUCUAGGGCAUAUUUCCUUCAUUUUCAUCAUCUCCACUUCUUUCUUCUUUUCUCUUCAACUGCUAACUGAGCUACUUGCCCGGAAGCCAUUUCUUCAGCCAAUUGCAACCUAAUAAGCAAAAAUUUCUCCCCCUAUGGCAGGCCACCAGCAUCCUGGUCCUUGUUGUCACUGCAUUCACCAUUACUCAUCCAUGUCUAGGUCUUAUUAUUGAUCAAAUUUUCAUACGACAUCAAAUAUAAGCUUCCCAACACAUUUGCUCUGGAUUGUUCAUCUCUCCCCCCUUUCUACUUCUUACCUGCCUCCCUUUGGUCAACUUCAUCUUCCAAACUGAUAUAAUCAAAGACUUGCCUUUUCUUCCCCUCCUCAAGCUUGUACCAUCCUUGUUCUAUAAUAGAUUCCAAAGCAAAUUCAGUGUCAUAUAAGAGCAGAUCCUUGGCAGUUAUCUCUGUUCCAAAUGGAAUUUUAUGCAAAUAUCUGAUCCCCACUUUAAUCCUUAUCUCCUCCUUGGUAUGUAUGUGCUCGUAGAUAUUUUUAUCAAUUUGUUUCAUCCAUCCAUCUUCCCUCAAAAAUAAGCUGUGGACAUAUCUAUCCAUUUUCAAUCUAUUUCUAUGCUUUAUCCGUUCAAUACCAUAGAUUUUCUUAUUCUCCUUGCUCGACAAUCUCCCAGUGUCAUCUAGUGCAUCAGAUCGUAAAUAACGAGGAGGAGGAAGAUCAGGAUCCAUACCAAAGUCUUAAUCCCCACCAGAAUCAGAGUCUAGUUCCUCCCUAGCUAGCAACCAAAGUCGAUUGCUCAAUAGGGGAGAAGUCAGAUCUCCAUUCCAACGAGGCGAGCACAGCGUCGGGGCACUAGAGAUGGCGCUGGGUUCAAACAUGCAAAAGGACGAGGCGGAGCUGACGAAGUCACCCGCAGCGUACCUCUGCAACCCUGUGGCCUCCUGCCAUUGCUCCCUUUGCCCCCAUCGAUCUCGAUUAGAGGGAAGCUCGAUCCCAGUGUCAGGAGGGCCAGGACCGCUCGCCCUCAUCGCAGAUGCCUUCAUUGUUGGCGCUAGCGGAGUGGUUGAGAACGAGAUGUACGAUGCCCAUUUUGUCACCCUCAAUGGAUCAGUCAACUCUGCCUACUCCAUCGCCCACAACAUAAUCUCCAGCGAGUGAUGAGCGCACUUCUUCACACAUAGCUCCCUCUCCUCCUCCUCCGUCAGCAAAUCCAACAUNNNNNNNNNNNNNNNNNNNNNNNNNNNNNNNNNNNNNNNNNNNNNNNNNNNNNNNNNNNNNNNNNNNNNNNNNNNNNNNNNNNNNNNNNNNNNNNNNNNNNNNNNNNNNNNNNNNNNNNNNNNNNNNNNNNNNNNNNNNNNNNNNNNNNNNNNNNNNNNNNNNNNNNNNNNNNNNNNNNNNNNNNNNNNNNNNNNNNNNNNNNNNNNNNNNNNNNNNNNNNNNNNNNNNNNNNNNNNNNNNNNNNNNNNNNNNNNNNNNNNNNNNNNNNNNNNNNNNNNNNNNNNNNNNNNNNNNNNNNNNNNNNNNNNNNNNNNNNNNNNNNNNNNNNNNNNNNNNNNNNNNNNNNNNNNNNNNNNNNNNNNNNNNNNNNNNNNNNNNNNNNNNGCGAGGGUUUGUCUCAACUAUUCCCUGUUUAGUAUUAUGUUUAGUUAGAAAAUACGAAAUAGACUAGGAUAUGUUCCGGCUUGUCUCAUACUCCAAGUUGACCAUGUACUCCUAUAUAUAUGCCCACGAGGCUCAAGCAAUAAACAACGAUUCCAGCAAUCCCUCUCUACUACUUUAACAUGGUAUCAGCCUAACUGAUCCAACCCUAACCGCCGCCCGCCGCUUCCGCCCCGCACGCCGCCCCUGGGGCGGUCGGCCUCCGUGACCGUCGUCGGGGGUCGCGCCGCCUGUACCUAGGGUUCAUCCGCUGGUCAUGUUGACCGGUGAUGACCCACAAGUAUAGGGGGUCGCAACAGCUUUCGAGGGUAGAGUAUUCAACCCAAAUUUAUUGAUUCGACACAAGGGGAGCCAAAGAAUAUUCUUGAGUAUUAGCAGUUGAGUUGUCAAUUCAACCACACCUGGAUAACUUAGUAUCUGCAGCAAGGUAUUUAGUAGCAAAGUAAUAUGAUAGUAAUGGUAACAGUGGUAAAAGGUAAAGAUAGUAGUAGCAAUAUUUUUGGUGUUUUGUAGUGAUUGUAACAGUGGCAACGGAAAAGUAAAUAAGCGAAGCACAAUAUAUGAAAAGCUCGUAGGCAAUGGAUCAGUGAUGGAUAAUUAUGCCACAUGCGUUUCCUCAUGUAAUAGCUAUAACAUAGGGUGACACAGAACUAGCUCCAAUUCAUCAAUGUAAUGUAGGCAUGUAUUCCGUAAAUACUCAUACAUGCUUAUGGAAAAGAACUUGCAUGACAUCUUUUGUCCUACCCUCCCGUGGCAGCGGGGUCCUAGUGGAAACUAAGGGAUAUUAAGGCCUCCUUUUAAUAGAGAACCAGACGAAAGCAUUAACACAUGGUGAAUACAUGAACUCCUCAAACUAGGUCAUAACCGAGAAGUAUCCCGAUUAUUGUCACUUCGGGGUUGUCGGAUCAUAACACAUAAUAGGUGACUAUAGACUUGCAAGAUAGGAUCAAGAACUCACAUAUAUUGAUGAAAACAUAAUAGGUUCAGAUCUGAAAUCAUGGCACUCGGGCCCUAGUGACAAGCAUUAAGCAUAGCAAAGUCAUAGCAACAUCAAUCUCAGAACAUAGUGGAUACUAGGGAUCAAACCCUAAUAAAACUAACUUGAUUACAUGAUAAAUCUCAUCCAACCCAUCACCGUCCAGCAAGCCUACGAUGGAAUUACUCACGCACGGCGGUGAGCAUCAUGAAAUUGGUGAUGGAGGAUGGUUGAUGAUGACGACGGCGACGAAUCCCCCUCUCCGGAGCCCCGAACGGACUCCAGAUCAGCCCUCCCGAGAGAGAUUAGGGCUUGGCGGCGGCUCCGUAUCGUAAAACGUGAUGAAACUUUCUCUCUGAUUUUUUUGUCCGCGAGACGGAAUAUAUGGAGUUGGAGUUGAGGUCGGCGGAGCCUCAGGGGGCCCACGAGACAGGGGGGGCGCGCCCUAUAGGGGGGGCGCCCCCCACCCUCAUGGACAGGGUGUGGGCCCCCUGGUCUUCAUCUUUUGCAAGGAUUUUUUAUAUUUUCUGAAACUUGUCUCCGAGGAUUUUCAGGUCAUUCCGAGAACUUUUGUUUUCUACACAUGAAACAACAUCAUGGUAAUUCUGCUGAAAACAACGCCAGUCCGGUUAGUUUCAUUCAAAUCAUGCAAGUUAGAUCCAAAACAAGGGCAAAAGUGUUUGGAAAAGUAGAUACGUUGGAGAUGUAUCAACUCCCCCAAGCUUAAACCUUUGCUUGUCCUCAAUCAAUUCAGUUGAUAAACUGAAAGUGAUAAAGAAAAACUUUUACAAACUCUAUUUGCUCUUGUUGUUGUAAACAUGCAUAGCCAUCAUUCAGGUUUCAACAAUAUUAUAAACUAACCAUACUCACAAUAACACUUAGGUCUCACAAUUACUCAUAUCAAUGGCAUAAUCAGCUAGCGAGCGAUAAUGAUAAAACUCGGAUGACAACACUUUCUCAAAACAAUCAUAACAUGAUAUAACAAAAUGGUAUCUUGCUAGCCCUUUCUGAGACCGCAAAACAUAAAUGCAGAGCACCUUUGAAGAUCAAGGACUGACUAAACAUUGUAAUUCAUGGUAAAAGAGAUCCAUUCAAGUCAUACCCAAUGUAAACCAAUAAUAAUGAAUGCAAAUGACAGUGUGCUCUCCAGCGGGUGCUUUUUAAUAAGAAGGUGAUGACUCAACAUAAAAGUAAAUAGAUAGGCCCUUCACAAAGGGAAGCAGGGAUUUGUAGAGGUGCCAGAGCUCGAUUUUAAAAUAGAGAUUGAAUAACAUUUUGAGCAGCAUACUUUCACUGUCAAUGCAACAACUAUGAGAUGGCUGUAUCUUCCAUACUAGAUGCAUUAUAGGCAGUUCCCACGCAGAAUGGUAAAAGUUUAUACUCCCCCAACCACCAACAAGCAUCAAUCCAUGGCUUGCUCGAAACAACGAGUGCCUCCAACUAACAACAAUCCUGGGGAAGUUUUGUUUAAUUAUUUUGAUUUGCUUUGAUCUUUUUGGAUCAUGGGACUGGGCAUCCCGGUUACCGGCCCUUUCUCGUGAAUGAGGAGCGGAGUCCACUCCUCUGAGAAUAACCCACCUAGCAUGGAAGAUAUAGGCAGCCCUAGUGGAAACAUGAGCAGCUAGAGCAUACAAAACAGAAUUUCAUUUGAAUGUUUAGAGUUUGGCACAUACAAAUUUACUUGGAACGACAGGUAAAUACCGCAUAUAAGAAGGUAUGGUGGACUCAUAUGGAACAACUUUGGGGUUUAAGGAGUUUGGAUGCACAAGCAGUAUUCCCGCUUAGUACAGGUGAAGGCUAGCAAAAGACUGGGAAGCGACCAACUAAGAGAGUGACAACAGUCGUAAACAUGCAUUAAAACUAAUUUACACCGAGUACAAACAUGAGUAGGAUAUAAUCCACCAUGAAUAUAAAUAUCGUGAAGGCUAUGUUGAUUUUGUUUCAACUACAUGCGUGAACAUGUGCCAAGUCGAGUCACUCAAUUUAUUCAAAGGAGGAUACCAUCCCAUCAUACCACAUCAUAAUCAUUCUAAUAGCAUGUUGGCACGCAAGGUAAACCAUUAUAACUCAAAGCUAAUCAAGCAUGGCACAAGCAACUAUAAUCUCUAAAUGUCAUUGCAAAUAUGUUUACUUCAUAUUAAGCUGACUCAGGAAUGAUGAACUCAUCAUAUUUACAAAAACAAGAGAGGUCGAGUUCAUACCAGCUUUUCUCAUCUCAAUAAGUCCAUCAUAUAUCGUCAUUAUUGCCUUUCACUUGCACGACCAAACGAUGUGUAUAAUAAUAAUAGUGUACGUGCAUUGGACUAAGCUGGAAUCUGCAAGCAUUCAACUCAAGAGAGAAGAAAAUAAUAUGGGCUCUAAAUUAAAUAAACGAUCAUGCAUACGAGAGCCACUAAACAUUUUUUAAUAUGGUCUUCUCGACCCCCAAAGGAAAGUAAAGAAAAUAAAACUAUUUACAUGGGAAAGCUCCCAGCAAGUAAAAGAAGAACGAGAAAUCUUUUUGGGUUUUCAUUUUAAUUCUACUACAAGCAUGGAAAUUAAGCUAACUAAUUUUUUGGUUUUUUUUCUCAAGGUUUAUCAAACACACAAAAAGAAAACUAGAAAAAUAAAUUUAAACUAACAUGGAUAAUACAAUGAAAGAGUAUGAGCACCCACAACUAGUGUGUGAACAUGAAUGUAAAGUCGGUGAGAAAUACGUACUCCCCCAAGCUUAGGCUUUUGGCCUAAGUUGGUCUAAUACCAGUGACCACUGGUACUCUCCCCGGUGUACUGGGAAGUAUAAUCAGGAUACCACUGGCUGGCCGUCUCCGAAUCCCACUGGAAAGAUGAUGCACGAUAAGGGUCCAGUACUAGUUCCGGCUCAGGUUUAGGUUCUGGAGUGGAUGCUUGGCCUCGAUGAGCAUACACCGCCUCCGGUGUCACAAGAAAAUUAUCUGCAGUCAAAUCAAACAACAAGGGUGCAGGCAGAAUAAUAGUUUCACUGUGUUUCUUAUUAAAUCUCAAGUUAUACAGGAGCGUCUUAUCUUCAUUCUGAACGAUAAAGUUGUGUGCUACCAUGCUCCUGUAAUCUAAAAUGUACGAAGGCAGGAUCGUCUCCCCCUUUUCAUAAUGCCUAAUAGGUAUCCGAAAAUGUCUAGCAAGACGUGAAGCAUAGAUACCUCCAAAUAUGGGGCCUUUUGUAUGAUUUAGGCUUAGCCGUUUAGCAAUGACAGCACCCAUACUAAAACUAUUGUCCCCAAACAAGGCAUGCUGAAGAAUGAUAAUAUCAGGAACAUUAAAAUUUCCACUAUUUCCACAACCAAUCAAGCAUCUACUAGCAAAUAUAGCAAAGUAUCGUAAAGCAGGAAAGUGUAUGCUAGAGAUUUUUGCCUCGGAACCUUUCUUUGGCUCCUCUAUAGCUAUAGUGUUAACAAAGCCCUCCACAUCUUCACGAUGGGGUUCCUCUAACUCUCUCCCAAAAGGUAUCCUACAUACCGCGCAAAAGUCACGUAAAGUCAUUUCUUUGAAUUCAUCAUAUAAAUGAAAUGACACUGAAGGUGGUGACUUCUUAGGAUAAUAAUAAAAGUUUUGCACAAAAGUAUUGGUAACCAAGAGAUACUGAUCUAUUCGGUCGAGGAGAAAAUCGUUGAGGCUUGCACUCUCGAUCAAAGAAUAAAAAUCUUCAUGAAUUCCAGCUUCUUUCAAGAAAUUAUCACAUGACCAUUCACACGACCAUACUUACGCUAAGCGAGGAAGAUUAUACUUGGCUUUUUCCUUCUCUUUAGCUUGUUUUUCCUGAGAGCCUUUGCUAGAAGAGCCCCUCAAAAGUGUCCUUAACAUUUUCUGAAAAUUUCUGAAAUCUUAGUAACUUCAAAAUAAAAGUGAAUAAAACUUAACAAGAAUGGUAGCAACUACUCCUACAAGUGCCUAGAGCCUAUAUCAUGCAUUAGAAUUACAUGGAACCUCAUAAAUUUGACAUGCAAGCUCAAGAACAGGUUCACCAAGGCAGCAAGGAUUUGCAAUGAAUAAAGCACUAGAACAAAAACUAAUUGGACCAAUGGAGGAGUCACAUACCAAGCAACAAUCUCCCAAAGCAGUUUUGUGAAUGGAGCUUUGAGCAAGGAGAUCGAAAAUCGCAGCAAAACAAGCUAGAACUCGUGCUUGAGUUGGAUGGGGAUUUUUUUGGGUAGAAGAUGGAGUGUGUGGGUGCUAGCAUAAGUGGAGGGGGGCUACCAGGGGCCCACGAGACAGGGGGCGCGCCCUCCACUCUCGUGGCCUGGUGCUUGCCCCUCCUGCAGUGAUUUCAGUGCCUAAAAUCCUCAAAUAUUCCAUAAAAAAUUAUACUAAAUUUGUAGGGCAUUUGGUGCACUUUUAUUUUCGGGAUAUUUUUUUAUUGCACGAACAAUUCAGAAAACAGACGGAUAAUACUAUUUUUGUUUUAUUUAUUGUAAAUAACAGAAAGUAAAAAGAAAGUACAGAAGGUUGUGCCUUCUAGUUUCAUCCGUCUCAUGAUCAUCAAAAUGAAUCCACUAACAAGGUUGAUCAAGUCUUGUUAAUAAACUCAUCUUGAAAUAGCACGGAACCGGAGAAAUUUUGAAGUGACACUAAGUUACCUCAACAGGGAUAUGAAAAUCCCCAACAAUAAGAAUAUCAUACUUUUUCUUGACAGUAGGGAGAGGAAAUUCGAAACCUCCAAUGGUAAUUGAUGGAAUUUUCUCAAUAGUAUUUAUGCUAUGAACUUGGAUUUGCUUCCUCGGAAAAUGUACCGUAUGCUCAUUUCCGUUAACAUGAAAGGUGACAUGGCCCUUGUUGCAAUCAAUAACAGCUCCUGCAGUAUUUAAAAAGGGUCUACCAAGAAUAAUAGACAUACUAUCGUCCUCGGGAAUAUCCAGAAUAACGAAGUCUGUUAAGAUAGUAACAUUCGCAACAACAACAUGCACGUCCUCACAAAUGCCGACAGGUAUAGCAGUUGAUUUGUCGGCCAUUUGCAAAGAUAUCUCAGUAGGUGUCAACUUACUUAAUUCAAGUCUACGGUACAAGGAAAGAGGCAUAACACUAACACCGGCUCCUAAAUCACAUAAAGCAGUUUUAACAUAAUUUCUUUUAAUAGAGCAAGGUAUAGUGGGUACUCCAGGAUCACCAAGUUUCUUAGGUAUUCCACCCUUAAAGGUAUAGUUGGCGAGCACGGUGGAAAUCUCAGUUUCAGGUAUUUUCCUAUUAUUAGUGAUGAUAUCUUUCAUAUAUUUAGCAUAAGGGUUUGUUUUAAGCAUAUCGGUUAAGCGCAUGCGUAAGAAAAUAGGUCUAAUCAUUUCAGCAAAACGCUCAAAGUCCUCAUCAUCCUUUGUCUUGGAUGGUUUAGGAGGAAAGGGCAUGGGUUUCUGAACCCAUGGUUCUCUUUCUCUACCAUGCUUCCUAGCAACAAAAUCUCUCUUAUCAUAACGUUGGUUUCCUGAUUGUGGGUUAUCAAGACCAAUAGCGGGUUCAAUUUCUAUUUCAUUGUUAUUACUAGGUUGAGCAUCUACAUGAACAUCAUUAUUAGCAUUAUUAGCAUUAUCAUCAGGUUCAUGUUCAUCUCCGGAUUGUGUUUCAGCAUCAGAGAUAGAAGUAUUAUUAGGAUUCUCAGGUAUUUCUACAUUAGGUUCACUAGAAGUUUGCAAAGUCCUAUCAUUCUUCUUUUUCUUCUUCUUAGAAGAACUAGGAGCAUCUAGAUUAUUAUUCUGAGAAUCUUGUUCAAUUCUUUUAGGGUGGCCUUUAGGAUACAAAGGUUCCUGAGUCAUUCCAUCAGUUCUAGUAGCCACUCUAACAGCAAAGUCAUUUUUAUUAUUUAAUUCAGCAAGCAAUUCAUUCUGAGCCUUAAGUACUUGUUCAGCUUGAGUAGCAACCAUGGAAGCAUGUUUACUAGUGAGUUUAAGUUCACCUUUAACUCUAGCUACAUAAUCAUUCAAGCGUGCUAUCGUAUAGGCAUUAUUCUUCAAUUGUCUACCAACAUAAUCAUUGAAAUUUGCUUGUCUAUUCAUGAAAUCAUCAAAUUCAUCUAAGCAAGGGCUAUGAAAUUUAGUAGAUGGGAUUUCAUCUUUAUCAUAUCUAUAGAGAGAAUUUACCUUUACUACCCGUGUCGGGUUAUCAAGACAUUGCGUUUCUUCAACAGGCGGUAUAUUAAGACCAUGUAUUUCUUCAAUAGGAGGUAAAUUCUUAACAUCUUCAGCUUUAAUACCUUUUUCUUUCAUUGAUUUCUUUGCCUCUUGCAUAUCUUCAGAACUGAGAAAUAGAACACCUCUCUUCUUUGGAAUAGGUUUAGGAAUAGGCUCAGGAGUUGGCUCAAUUUGUUCAGGAGUUGCCUCAGGAAUUGGCUCCGGGAGAGUCCAAUUAUUUUCAUUAGUCAACAUAUUAUUCAAUAGUAACUCAGGUUUGUCGACUGUUCUUUCCCUGAAAACACAACCAGCACAACUAUCCAAGUAGUCCUUGGAAGCAUCGGUUAGUCCAUUGUAGAAGAUAUCAAGUAUUUCAUUUUUCUUAAGUGGAUGAUUAGGCAAAGCAUUAAGUAAUCGGAGAAGCCUCCCCAAGCUCGUGGGAGACUCUCUUCUUUGAUUUGCACAAAGUUAUAUAUUUCCCGCAAGGCAGCUUGUUUCUUAUGAGCAGGGAAAUAUUUAGCAGAGAAGUAAUAAAUCAUAUCCUGGGGACUACGCACACAACCAGGAGCAAGAGAAUUAUACCAAGUCUUAGCAUCACCCUUUAAUGAGAAUGGAAAUAUCUUAAGGAUAUAAAAAUAGCGAGAUUUAUCAUCAUGAGUAAACAGGAUAGCUAUAUCAUUCAACUUGGUAAGAUGUGCCACAACAGUUUCAGAUUCAAGGCCAUAAAAAGGAUCGGAUUCUACCAAAGUAAUAAUUUCAAGAUCAACAGAGAAUUCAUAAUCCUUAUUAGUAACACAGAUAGGUGAAGUAGCAAAAGCAGAGUCAGGUUUCAUUCUAGCAUUAAGAGAUUGCUGCUUCCAUUUAGCUAAUAACUUCUUAAGAUCAUAUCUAUCUUUGCAGGCAAAAAUAGCUUCAACAGCUUCUUUAUUCAUAACAUAACCCUCAGGAACAACGGGCAAUUCAUAAUCAUUCAGAGAACGUUCAUCAUCACUAUCAUCAAUAAUAGCAUCUUCAAUAAUUUCGUUCUCUCUAGCCCUAGCAAGUUGUUCAUCAAGAAAUUCACCUAAUGGCACAGUAGUAUCACACACAAAAGUAGUUUCAUCAUAAGUAUCAUGCAAAGCAGAAGUGGCAUCAUCGAUAACAUGCGAUAUAUCAGAAUUCAUAGCAGUAACAUGUUUAGGUGUCGCAAGCUUAUUAAUAAUAGAAGGAGAAUCUAGUGCAGAGCUAGAUGGCAGUUCCUUACAUCCCCUUGUAGUUGAGGGAUAGAUCUUGGUUUUAGAGUCUUUCAAAUUCUUCAUAGUGAUCAACAGAUAUAAAUCCCAAGUGACUCAGAGAAUAGAGCUACGCUCCCCGGCAACGGCGCCAGAAAUUAGUCUUGAUGACCCACAAGUAUAGGGGAUCGCAACAACUUUCAAGGGUAGAGUAUUCAACCCAAAUUUAUUGAUUCGACACAAGGGGAGCCAAAGAAUAUUCUUGAGUAUUAGCAGUUGAGUUGUCAAUUCAACCACACCUGGAUAACUUAGUAUCUGCAGCAAGGUAUUUAGUAGCAAAGUAAUAUGAUAGUAAUGGUAACAGUGGUAAAAGGUAAAGAUAGUAGUAGCAAUAUUGUUGGUGUUUUGUAGUGAUUGUAAUAGUAGCAACUGAAAAGUAAAUAAGUGAGGCACAAUAUAUGAAAAGCUCGUAGGCAAUGGAUCAGUGAUGGAUAAUUAUGCCAGAUGCGAUUCCUCAUGUAAUAGAUAUAACAUAGGGUGACACAGAACUAGCUCCAAUUCAUCAAUGUAAUGUAGACAUGUAUUCUGUAAAUAGUCAUACGUGCUUAUGGAAAAGAACUUGCAUGCCAUCUUUUGUCCUACCCUCCCGUGGCAGCGGGGUCCUAGUGGAAACUAAGGGAUAUUAAGGCCUCCUUUUAAUAGAGAACUGGACCAAAGCAUUAACACAUGGUGAAUACAUGAACUCCUCAAACUAGGUCAUCACCGAGAAGUAUCCCGAUUAUUGUCACUUCGGGGUUGUCGGAUCAUAACACAUAAUAGGUGACUAUAGACUUGCAAGAUAGGAUCAAGAACUCAUAUGUAUUGAUGCAAACAUAAUAGGUUCAGAUCUGAAAUCAUGGCACUCGGGCCCUAGUGACAAGCAUUAAGCAUAGCAAAGUCAUAGCAACAUCAAUCUCAGAAUAUAGUGGAUACUAGGGAUCAAACCCUAAUAAAACUAACUUGAUUACAUGAUAAAUCUCAUCCAACCCAUCACCGUCCAGCAAGCCUACGAUGGAAAUACUCAUGCACAGAGGUGAGCAUCAUGAAAUUGGUGAUGGAGGAUGGUUGAUGAUGACGACGGCGAUGAAUCCCCCUCUCCGGAGCCCCGAACGACUCCAGAUCAGCCCUCCCGAGAGAGAUUAGGGCUUGGCGGCGGCUCCGUAUCGUAAAACGCGAUGAAACUUUCUCUCUGAUUUUUUUCUCUGUGAGACGGAAUAUAUGGAGUUGGAGUUGAGGUCGGCGGAGCCUUAGGGGGCCCACGAGACAGGGGGCGCGCCCUAUGGGGAGGGGCGGCGCCCCCCACCCUCGUGGACAGGGUGUGGGCCCCCUGGUCUUCAUCUUUUGCAAGGACUUUUUAUAUUUUCUGGAACUUGUCUCCGAGGAUUUUCAGGUCAUUCCGAGAACUUUUGUUUUCUACACAUGAAACAACAUCAUGGUAAUUCUGCUGAAAACAGUGUCAGUCCAAUUAGUUUCAUUCAAAGCAUGCAAGUUAGAGUCCAAAACAAGGGCAAAAGUGUUUGAAAAAGUAGAUACGUUGGAGACGUAUCAACCGGCUGUCCUAGAGAGUCUUUUUCCCGAGUCCUUGCUCUGAGUUUUUUCUCUCUCUUUCGACGGUCAUCUUGAUCGGUGUUAUCUUUUUGGUUUUCCGAUCUAAGGUCGGUUUGCGUCGCCCUUCGUCGUCGUCGACCACAUGCCUCUACUCUGACACCAACGCCAUUCGGCCUGUUCUCCCACCCAGUGGCCCAUCACGGUCAUUGUUCAUGUCUCUGCCCGCCUGUCGCUCUAUGUCGGCCGCCGCCCUGCACGACCGGGGCUCCUGCAUCACCUCCCACCUCCGCAGUGUACGUACGGCCGUGUCCGUACGACGUUGCAUUCGCCGCUCCGGGCCUGGCCAAUCGGGUACCACUGUUGCGUUGGCUGCCUGGGCAUCGCUGCCCGGGCGCUGGCUUUGUGCUGGCCACCCGCACGUCGCCGCCGACGCAAUCAUUGACACGUCAUCCUAUGGCGGUCGUCGCCGUCGGCUUCAGCUUGGACUCCGUCACCACCCCGCCUCCACCAAGUGGCGUCCUCGACCUCGCGCGCGAUCGGAUUGAUCACCCGUCUGCCACCGCGAUCCGCCUCAUUUACCCCGUGCAACCGACCUAGCCCGUCGGUUGCACGUGCCUCCAUAGGUCCUGUGAAGACCGUUCAGAGGACAAUGCGCCCCUACACCGAUCGAGCAUCAGGCUGCCGCUGCGUCGCCCCAUCGGCCCACAGCUCCGCUGCCGCGUGGUUUCGCCCGCGGCUGCACUGACUCGCGUGCUGCCAUUGCGUCGCCCCUUCGGGUCGUUGUGUCGCAGCCCGCGGUCUACUGCCGUCUCAAGGCCGUCCUAUCAAUGUCGUCUCUAAGGCUGCACCGACCCUCGCGUUGCCGCUGCGUUGCCCCAUCGAGCUGUAGCGAGCGUGGCACCGCCGCCGCCCGAGGCCAUCCCCGUGGCUGCAUUGACUCGUGCGUCAUCGUGCCGCGGCCCGCAGUUCCCGUUGCCGCCCAGAGGUCUUCCCACUGUCGCCCGACCCGCCUGCUGCCGCUGCAUCGCACGCAGCGCCAUGGCUCGUGGUCCACUCUAUCGGCCCCGCGUUUUGACUUCCCGUGGUAUGCGUCGUGCCGCCUCCCUUGGCGUGGAACUUCACCGUCCGCGCCGGUCUUCGUCAUGUUGUCGGGUUCUUCGCCUACUUCGAGCACUGCCGCCGCGCUCCUAACCUAGCCGCCACCGCUCUUCUUCGCCUGCCGCCGCUGCUACCCCCAUAGCCGCCGCCGCCCGUCCACCUUCUUCGUCUUCGUCCAGCACCAGCUCGUCGCCAGGGUCGCCGUCGUCUUCCCCGACCACUUUGGUGACAUCGGCCCCACGCCAAUUGGUGCCACAAUCGUCGUCGAGUCUUUGUCUCUGCUGGCCCCUCUGACUCCUCAACAUGGCGUACAGCUCGUGCAGGUCCCUCGUCUACGCUGCGCGGUGCUGGCAACAUCGAUGCGUGCCUUCGUCCAUGACGUGUCUCCAGGCUUGGCAAGCCUGGUGCGGCGCUUCGUCAACUUCUUCUUCGUCCGUUUACGCAUGACCGACGCUGGCAACACCGAUGCGUGCCUUCGUCCAUGAUGUGUCCCCGAGCUUGGCAAACCCUGCGCGACGCGUCAUCAACAGCGUCUUCUUCCCGGUGCACCACUAUUUCGACACCACUGCGCCUAUGACUAAGAUGGCGCCUCCUUGCGCCUGCGGCUCCAUGACGACUUCCUCAACACCGUACCCCUACUCGACAUUGAACACAACGUUCUUUGCACGGCUACCUCGACCACGGCUACACCACCCUCUGCUCUCGGCUACAUCGACAUCGGCACAAAGGGCCACCGCCUUGCUUGAGCAACCUCGUUGGUUUCCACUCUAAUCACAACUUCCGCUAUGUAUCGACCGUUACGACUGUGUGGGGGUGGNNNNNNNNNNNNNNNNNNNNNNNNNNNNNNNNNNNNNNNNNNNNNNNNNNNNNNNNNNNNNNNNNNNNNNNNNNNNNNNNNNNNNNNNNNNNNNNNNNNNNNNNNNNNNNNNNNNNNNNNNNNNNNNNNNNNNNNNNNNNNNNNNNNNNNNNNNNNNNNNNNNNNNNNNNNNNNNNNNNNNNNNNNNNNNNNNNNNNNNNNNNNNNNNNNNNNNNNNNNNNNNNNNNNNNNNNNNNNNNNNNNNNNNNNNNNNNNNNNNNNNNNNNNNNNNNNNNNNNNNNNNNNNNNNNNNNNNNNNNNNUAUGUUUAGUUAGAAAAUACGAGAUAGACUAUGAUAUGUUCCGGCUUGUCUUGUACUCCAAGUUGACCAUGUACUCCUAUACAUAUAUGCCCACGAGGCUCAAGCAAUAAACAACGGUUCCACCAAUCCCUCUCUAUCCCUUCUAACAUUCCCCACCACAGGCUAGAGUGGAAGGAAGUGGAAGAGUGAAUGUGACCCCUCCCUUCCACUCACCCCUCCUGGCUUAAAAGCAGUCGUACACCACCCGCCAUGCGCGCCGCCCGAGGUGCGAUGUGCCGUAUGGCCAGUCGCGGCACAAGUUUUCGUAACAUGACAUGGAAAAUGUACCUUGUCGCCCACCACGCAAACCUCAUCCCGUCGACGUGCGCGGCGGUCCACCACCAAGCCUCUCCCAUCGACGAGGGAGAGGAAGCGAUCCCGCACCACCACCUCACCUAGGCGAUAGGCGAGCACCCCCGCGCUCAUAAGUCCGGCAAGUACCACGUCGCCCAUCUAUACUCACCGUGCGCGUCAUCGAGCGUGUCGCCACGAAAAUCGUCAGAGACGUGUCGAAACGUCAUCUCGCCUGAUUGUAUUGUGUUAAAAAAACAGAGUACGACGAACCAACCUGUGGUUGGAUGGUUAGAGGGACUGUGGUAUCCCCAACCCACUAGAAAGUCCUGGUGCUCACAUUUAUUCCUGAAUUUAUUUCAGGAUUUUCGGCGAUGCGCAUUCGGUGGGAGGAGACGUUCCCGUCGACGACGAGGUGGUGACUUCGUAAAUUUCAAGAUGAUAUGCCGGCUCAGUCUUUUGAAGGUGCUCAUAGGGGUAGGGUGUGCAUGUAUGCUUUCAUAUGGAUGAGUGUAUACGCGUGUACACGAACGCUUUGUGUCUGUACUGUGUUAAAAAAAAACAGAGCGCGUGAUGGCUUGAUAAACGAUACACGGCUUGCCUUGACGUAGAAGAUCUGAAUCGGGAGAGGGAGCUGAGAGAUGCCACCGUUUACUACCGACCGACCGACCGGACCACGGUGAGAAGGGCCGCGACCCAUACCACACCCAAAUGUACGUACAUAGGAUGCUCCUACCUGACAAUCAAUUAAGCAGCCGGUCAACCGUAAGCAUCACCACCACCGUCCCCAUUUUGCCUCCGGGCCUACGCGAUUAAGCAUUUAAAUGUACUACGCGCUCAUGUAGUCCUGUAUAGCUGGGCCUCCACUACGUGUUCGGUAGAGUACUCAACCUUUUGUGUACUAUACUCCAACAAACCUAACAUGCCCUUAACAAGCAUGGAUAAGUUCGUCACCUCCACGCUUUGACGAUCAGCCCAUUUGGCUGUUGAUGAUGGGAAGGGGAAUCCUGAUGACCUAGCUUUGGCUAGUAGUUUAGGUUAGAUCUUUUUAGUUUUCGCAAGAGUAAAUAGCAUAAAGCUACUAGUUUACAGGUUAGGGUUUCAAAAAACUACCACUUUUUUUAAUUUUCUCAGAAAGCUACCAAACGCGCGGUCCGCUGUUUCAAAAAACCCAAACCCGCGGUGACUAGCGAUUUAACCGUUUUUCUGACGGCCUGGGCCCAUCCGUCAGCCCACGUGGCCACGCGCGCUCACGGCGCGGCAGUUCACGGCCGUUAGCCGACGCGGUCCGGUCGGAACCAAAGUAGGCUGUCAGGUUUCUUGUUCUCUCACUCCCCUCCUCUCCCCCUCCUCUUCCCCGCAGUGACCUAGUGGGCGAUGGCGGCGGCGCAGCCAAAUCUCGUCGGCGGCGAGCGAUUCAGCCAAGGCGGCACUGGCGAGGAGGGCGGUGGACCCUUAGAGGUGGACAAAUGGCUAGGCAGCUCGAGCUUCCCGGCGCAGCGGUCGCAGCAGCCAUCACCGCCCGCGGCUCAUGUGGAUCCGGCGAGCUCAGAUCUGGAAGUCCGCGCAGCCAGGGCAGUGGCGAAGCGCAUCCACGCUGAUCCAGCAGGCGGCCACCAUUGGGCUUCGUCCUUUGGUGGAGUGAGGUAAGCACUGCUCAAUGUUUCUGGGUGCUUUAGUUCAAAUUAGAAGAAAGUGCUACUGUAUUUAUGGGUCAAUUUAAUCCUACAGCUUAGAUGAUGCGAUUUGGGACUUGAGGCUACAUUUUCAAGGAAUAGAUAAUAUGGAGAAAAAGUAUUCAGUGUCCUCAGAUAUCAGUUAUCUGACCAUAUUAGCAUUGGUUGAGUUGGAGGACUAUGGAAUGGAUGCAUUUCUAACUUAUGUAAAGGAAGAUGGAAAGGGGCUGGAGGGUGUGGAGGCCCUGGAUAGUGAGGAGGCAUUAGAUGAAAUGCUUGACUUAUUUGUUGAUAAUAAGGUACUGAACAUCAGUGUCAGAAAAGCUACUGAUCCAAGCCCAGCAGAUGAGGAACAGAUCCCCAUUGAUCAUGUUGGUGAACCUGUUGUUUACAGAGUUUCACAAGAAGGUGUUCUGUACCCUGCCCCUGAUGAUCCCUACAUAAACACAGAGCAAAGCAGCAAUUUUAACAAGGGGGAAAAAGUUGUGGAAGAAGAAGAUGUAGAAGAAGCAGCAGAUGAAGAAGAAGAAGAAGUACCAGAGGAAGAAGAUGAAGUUGAAGAUGGCAAAUCAUCUUCAGAUUUUGAGUUCUUUAGGGGUGAUUACAGAGGGGAGAAAAUUUCUUACAAAGCUUGGUGUAGGGGUGAAGAUGAGACUGGCACUGAUACUGCAGAGCACUUCUGUGCAGCUAACUCAGAACCUUCUGAGUUUUGGGAGGAAGAACCAGUUGUUUCUGAAGAUGAACAAGUAGAGGAUCCUGGCAUAAGUGAUCCUAGUACUGUAACUACAAAUGCAGCCAAAAAGCUUAAGCCAGUUAGAAAACCUGGCCCAACUAGCAAGUCUCACAGUCAGCCUGAGCACAUCAAGUUUGAAGAUUAUGUCCCUGAAGCUGAUGAGUACUGUUUUCCAGGUGAUUUUGGCAUAAGUGAUGAAGAUGAUGCACCAAGGCUACCAUCUGGAAGGAAGAGUAGGAAGAAGCAGAAGAAGGAGAGGAUAUGGUAUGAUCCAUCAAGGCCUGAUGCACAUGAGCAGUUUGCAAUGCAUUUGUGCUUUGAAAAUGUAGUUGAGUUCAGAGAAGCACUUAGAAAUUUUCAUGUGAGGACUCUUAGGAAUUUUGAGUAUCACAGAAAUGAACCAACUAGGGUUAUUGCUUGGUGCUCUGAGAGAAAACAUGGAUGUCAGUUUUACAUAGUUGCCUCCAAGAUAGCUCAUGAGGCAACUUUCAGUAUCAAGAAGAUGAACGUGGAUCACACUUGUGGAGCAAGUGGAGAGAACACAAAGGUGACAGUCAAUUGGGUUGCUAAGGUUUGUGAGGAUACAGUCAGAUCCAACCCUGGAGCUGGUGUUGACACAAUUAUGUCAUACACAAAGAAGAAGUUUGGUGUGCAUGUGCCUAAAAGCUUGGCAUAUAGGGCAAGGAAGCAAGUAGUUGAGGUUGUGCAAGGAGAUCACAAACUCCAGUAUCACAGAAUAAGGGACUACCUGCAGUGUGUGCUAGAUACUAACCCCGGCAGUAGGUGCAUAGUAACAACACAUGAGGACCCACUUAACCCAGCUCCUACCCCAAGGUUUCACUAUAUGUUUUACUGCUUGUUUGCAUGCAAGGAGGGUUUUCUGAAUGGAUGGAUGCCAUUUAUAGGUAAGUAUUCAGAAAUUUAUAUGUUUUUUAAACAUUGAUGUACUUAGGCACUCAUGUUAUCAUGUUAGCAGGUCUGGAUGGUUGCUUCAUCAAGCUAAGCACUGGUCAGCAGAUAUUGGCAGCUACAGGGAGGGAUGGCAACAAUAACAUCUUCCCAAUAGCUUUUGGUGUUGUUGAUAAGGAAGAGAUAGACAGUUGGACAUGGUUUCUCACACAAUUGAGAACAGUCAUUGGAACUGGCAAUAAGUUUGUCAAAUACACAAUUAUGUCUGGCAUGCAGAAGGUAUUGUUCUCAACCUAGUCUUUACAUUUGCCUUUACAUUUGCAAUGAGUAAAAUGUUAUUCAGUAGAUGAGUAACACUUAAGAUCACCUUAUAUUGAACAGGGAUUGUUGAAUGCAAUAGAUGAUGUAUUCCCUGACUCUCAAUAAAGGUUUUGUCUUAGACAUAUUUAUGCCAAUUUUCAGUCAGCUGGUUUCAGAGGAGAGGAACUUAAGAAACAUUUAGAUCAGGCUGCCUAUUCCUUUACCAAACAUGGACAUGAUUUAGGCAUGGAGAAUUUGAAAAAAGAAAGUUUAGAAGCUUGGAAGUGGUUGUCCCAGAUACCAAACCAUACCUAGGCUAGGUAUAAAAUGGACACUGUGUGCAAAACUGACCUGGUAGUAAACAACCUUAGUGAGGUUUUCAAUAGAAUGAUAUUGGAUGUUAGGAACAAGCCAAUCAGGACUAUGUUAGAGGGCAUAAGAACAAAGCUAAUGAUUAAGUUUCAGAAGAUCAGAGAGAAGACAGAGGGAUGCAGAUGGGAAAUCACACCUACUUAUUCAGAGAUUUUAGAAGAGGGUAAGAAGUGGGCUAAAUAUUGUGAAGCAUACAUGGCAGGGCCAGGGAUAUGGCAGGUCACAAGUAGCUCAGAAAACACAUAUUGUGUUAAUUUGAACAAUGAGACCUGUGACUGUAGGAGGUGGGACAUGACAGCUAUCCCAUGCAGUCAUGCCAUUGCUGCAAUGCAGAAAGUGAAGAUACACCCUAAAGACUAUGUUUCCGCUUUCUUCAAGAAACCCAUGUAUUGUGAAACAUAUAAGCACAUAAUAUUCCCUGUGCCAGGUCCUGACCAUUGGCCUCAUACAAAUGGGCAUGAUAUUUCUCCCCCUGUUUUUAGAGAAAAGAAAGGUAAGAAACAAACUGCUAGGAGGAAAGGCCUGUUUGAGGUGCCAGCUAAAAAAGACACUUCUAGGAUUGGUACAGUCACAUGCAGCAACUGCAAGAUGCAAGGGCACAGGAUCAACAAUUGUGGUGUCCCAUUGAAACCUAAGUUCCAAAUGAGGCUGAACAAGCAUCAGGUAUGUCCAUUGAUUCCAUGGUUACUUACAUUGCAUUGCAUUGUUACAUUCAUUUCAUUUGUAGGAAAAUACUUUUAACUAAUAUUGUUGUGUAGGAAAAUAGAACAAACUACUCUGAGGCUGGAUCUUCAAUGGCUGCAAGUGCACAAUGGCCACCAAGGGUACCUGCUGCCUCUGCACCUGCACCAACUCCUCCUCCAGUAACAAAUGAGUCAACACAGACAGCUUCUAGGUCAAGGAAGAGGGCAGCACCAGCUACAUCAACAGCAGCACCACCUCUCAAGAAGAGCAGGACCAAUACAUCUUCUGCAACAGUAGUAGCACCUGCCAAGAAGAAGAACACAACUAUUCCUGUCAAUGGAUCAAGGUCUUCUCCAGCAAAGAACACCAGGUCAUCAAGGUCUUCUCCAGCAAAGAACACCAGGUCAGCUACUGCUAAUAGAGGUGGCACUGGAUCUUUCAUUGCUCCUAGACAGGCUACAAGUGCUGUGCAUGAUGGGUCAAAGAGGGUCAGGAAGCCAUCUAAUAGGCUGAAAGAUUACUUUUAUGCAAGUGGCAACUAGCUGAAGUUGUUGAACUCCAAGUGCUUGAUACUGUUUGAUUUGGUUUGUAAUAACAUUGCCUCACUAAGUACUUGAUACUGCACUCUUUGAUUUGGUUUGUAAUAUGGUACUGUAUGUGGAUUCUGCACUUGUUUGCAACUUCAAUUCAUCUGUCUCACAAAUACUACUACAAGUCUCAUAGAUUACAUCCAAAUCUCACAAAUACUACUACAAGUGCUGCUACAAGUCUCUCUCAAAUUGACUUACAGAUAGAAAGAUAGAUAGAAAGAUAGAUAGCUAGAUUGACAUAUCAGUCAUAGCGCUCAAAGAAACGGACCCACUUGGUCCUAGUUGCUGGAUGAGGAGCCAUGACUGCCCUCAUCCUUGCCCACCUAAUGAUCUGGAUGAAUGACCUUCCCCUGCCACCAGUGAAAACCAACUCUAGUUCUUCAUCAUUGCACUUCUCCAGUACCUUGUUGGAGAGUCGGCAGUUGAACUCCUCUUGCUGCUCAUCCUGGGCCGCCUCUAGUGCCCUCUGCCUGCGCCUCCUGCUCCUCCUCUGUGCUGCUGCUGCUGUCCGUACCUCCACAGCCUCCCCCUCUUCCUCUGUGACAUCCCCCAUGUCAGGAUCCAUCUGUAGGGUUUCUUUUGGUUGGCGGCUGGUGGAGUCACUGGGAAAGGGUGGGGGUGGGGAGGGGUUUAUAUUGAGAGAUGGAUGGGGGAUUGGGGUUAGUAGGCCUAGGGUUGCAUUUGGUCAGAGAGUAGUGGGCCACUAAGCCCAAUUACCCAUAGAAAUAAUAUAUGAAGGAUAACAAAUAACAUAUAAAAGAUAUAAGAUCAAGUUGAACACCUAAUAGCAUAGGAGAUCCAUUUCCACUACUUAAUAGCAUAGGAGAUCCAUUUCCACUACUUAAUAGCAUAGGAGAUCCAUUACAACACUUAAUACCAUAGGUGAUCCAUUACAACUUAACAACAUAGGAAAUAAGGUUCUUACACACUAGGUUAAACUUCACAUUUCCCCAAAAUGUACACCCAUAAUUACUUGAAAUCAUGCCAGGCCACAUCCUUAUAUAAAGGCCUUUGGAUGUACUUACUUCACCAACAUAUCACAACAAGUUCAAGACUCAAGGAUGGCCUUGAUUUGCUCUAACUUCUCCUUGCUGCCAUACCCUUCAUUCAGCAGCUCAGCAACAACAAGCUCAAGCUUUGCCUUCUCCUUCUUAAGAACAUCUCUGUCAACUUCAACAUCCUUCAUAGCCUUCCUAGUGUUCUUGAUGAUAUCAGCUUGGCUCUGCAAAAUGCACCUCUGCUCUUUUGCAAGUUUGAGCUUUUCCAUCUGCACCUCCAACAUGGCUUUCUCCUCUAGCUCCUUCUUCUUCUUCUCAAGUUCUUCCUCCUCCACUUGUUUCUUGUCCACCCUACCAUCCUGGCAAUCAAACAUCUUGGAUACAUCAUCAACAAGCUUGGUGUACUCAAUGCAAAGCUUGUCAUUUUCAGUCCUCAGCUUGGCCAACUCCCUUUCAUGUUCACUCUUAAGCCUUGCCAACUCCUGCUCAAACUUCUCCUUGUCUUGUACCCUUCCAAAGUUCUGCUCAUGGAACAUCUCCCAUAGCUUGCACAAACAUCUCUGAAGAACAGUUGGCCAAGGCCCAUCAACCCACUCUGUAACACCACAAUUCACACCAUUUUCCUGCAUUUGUAAAUGUGAAAAGUUAUUACAAUGCCAUUAGUAAGUUUCCAAAGUGGCAAAAAUACAUAUGUGUCUGUCAUAUCAAACAAACUGCUCCAUCAUAUCAAACAUCACUGAACAUCCAUAGCAGAAAACUUAAUUGGCAUCUAACCUGGACUGGGCAGCCAUAGAAACGCCUCCCUGUUACAGGCCCUUCAAAAGCAACACGCUUAAUAGGCCUCAGUUGGUGCAGAAUGCACUUGGGAUGAGCAAGCUCAAGUUAGCCACAGAAAAGGGGCUCCACAGUGGUGUCUGGUUCCUCCUGCAGCCAUAAUAACCAACAAAAUCUAGUUUCAAUCUGCACUUAAUACCAGAAUCAACUUGCACUGUUCAUUAAAUCCCCAAAUCAGCAUGAACCCUAACACUGUACAGAGAUGAACCCUAGGUUACCUAAAUCCUACAAUCAAACCGCACCCUUCACUAAUCAAGAACAGUAUCACACACACAACAACAACACUACACUAAGCAAAAUCCAUGGCUGUAGCCUAAGCUACUAGCACCUAACCCUAACCCUAACCCUAGGUGGCAAAGAACUUACCAUAAGUCCCAUGUCCAUGCUGACAGCCUCGCACUCCUCCUUCGAGCUGGUUUCCUCGUCUUUCCAGGAAGGCAUUGCGGAAAGGAGGUCGACGGCCACCGGCCUCGAAGACGGCGCGCGGCGGCGAGCUCGUACUGGAGCAGGGGAGUGAGAGCAGGGGAGUGAGCGAGCAACGAGAGAGUGAGCGAGUGUGUGAUCCCGACCGACCGAGCGGAUAUAUUUACCCCACUUCCGACCGGGCCGGUCGGCUAACGGCCGUGAACUGCCGCGCCGUGAGCGCACGUGGCCACGUGGGCCGACUGAUGGGCCCAGGCCGUCAGAAAAACGGUUAAAUCGCUAGUCACCGCGGGUUUGGGUUUUUUGAAACAGCGGACCGCGCGUUUGGUAGCUUUCUGAGAAAAUUAAAAAAGUGAUAGUUUUUUGGAACCCUAACCUGUAAACUAGUAGCUUUAUGCUAUUUACUCGUUUUCGCAAAGACGGCGUUUGGAUGGAUGACGGUAUUUCAUCUUUGAGUUGGUCUUUGUAGUUUCAAUCCUCAUCGGUUUUGUUCAUCAGGAUGGACUUCUGACAUAGAUUUAUGUCAUCUCCUUCGGACGACAAGGUUAGAGUUUCUCGCCGUACAUACACAUGACAAUAUCUGGUGUCAUGCGUUUCAGAUCGAUUCAAAGGUUCAACGAUGACGACUACAAUUCCAAUGUGUCGGUCUUUUGGGGCACGCAUUGUCAACGACAAGCUUAGCAUGGCCCAUGUGUGUGCGUGUGUGUGUNNNNNNNNNNNNNNNNNNNNNNNNNNNNNNNNNNNNNNNNNNNNNNNNNNNNNNNNNNNNNNNNNNNNNNNNNNNNNNNNNNNNNNNNNNNNNNNNNNNNNNNNNNNNNNNNNNNNNNNNNNNNNNNNNNNNNNNNNNNNNNNNNNNNNNNNNNNNNNNNNNNNNNNNNNNNNNNNNNNNNNNNNNNNNNNNNNNNNNNNNNNNNNNNNNNNNNNNNNNNNNNNNNNNNNNNNNNNNNNNNNNNNNNNNNNNNNNNNNNNNNNNNNNNNNNNNNNNNNNNNNNNNNNNNNNNNNNNNNNNNNNNNNNNNNNNNNNNNNNNNNNNNNNNNNNNNNNNNNNNNNNNNNNNNNNNNNNNNNNNNNNNNNNNNNNNNNNNNNNNNACUUAUUAUUUUUGAGGUGUUUUGUAUUUCUGAUGAAUUUUUUAUAAUAUGUCUCAUCUCUUUUGCUAAAAGAUAUUUAAAAACAUGGAUAAGUUAACUAAGGUGCCAUUGUGCCGUCGUGCGGUUGUGUGCACGGGAUGGAGAUCAACGUUAGUGCUUGGGUGCUCCCGUGCUUGUACGUUUCGGAGUGUAUUUCGUAGAGCUGGAGCCAGGCACAAGCCGGGCGAUCUGGAAAUUAAUCAUGGCGUCGCAAGGAGAAGAGAGAAGAGUGCGGGCUAAUGCUUUGGUGGUGUAUUAUCAUCCGCUUCGGUUAGCACUAAAGGCGACGCUUUACGCCAAGAGGAAGCUAAAUUGGCCCCAUCAUUGUAUGUAGGUAUCUUACCACGCAAUCUAAUCUAAUUGCGACUUUAUUGGUUUCCUUAACAAUUCAUUAAGGCAAUCUGGUGGGUCUCUUGUCCCUCGCAAACAAAGAUUAGGUGGGUCUCUCUCUUGCAUGGAGCAUGCUGAGUUCUCUUUUUUGAUGAAUGAUACUGAUGGAGCAUACUGAGUUACCGACUGAUAUUUUUUCUUUUGAGAAACUAGUUACUGACUGAUAAGCUUCGCAUCUGGCUGUGAUGGAUGAUGGGUCGGGCUGAGGUGGUGACGGCCGGGUGUGUCAUGGGCCGAGUCAUCGUAGGACUGCUCGCUCCAUCGGCGGCAACCCACUAAAAAUUGAAGUCACUAAUUGAGAAUUACUCCUUACAAAGAUCACUCUCACCUUUUUGAGUUUUCUUCUUUUUUGUAGAUCCGUUUUAUCUCUUAAACCGUGCGUACAAAUUUUGAACCGUUUUCACCGUUGAAUUCCUCGUGUCGGGAUCUUCAAAACUAGAUUCCAUGUUGAUAUGUUUUCACAAUCUUUUUUUCACGAAAAAAACGAACGAAAAAAAACUGGACAAAAAAACCGACCGGGAGCAUGGUUUUUUUUCUUUUCGAAAGAGGCACGACCGUGCCUCCUGCGAAAGCACAUCGUACCUCUCGCAUAAGCAAAACUGUGCCUCUCCCUCAAAAAAAAUAAAAAACAUUUUUUUCGUUUUCCGAGAGGCACGCCCGUGCCUCUCGUAGAAGAAAAAUAAAACAGAAAAAGAAUUUUUUUCGAGAGGCACGGCCGUGCCUCUCGCAAAACCAUAACCGUGCCUCUCGUGAAAGCAAAACUGCAUCUUUCACGGAAGCAAAAAAAAGGGAUUUUCACACAAAAAAUUAAAAAAGAAUGUACCAAAAGCUAAGAAAGACCGUAGGAAAACCAAAAAGUAAAAAAGAAAAAGAAAUCGCAAACUUUCGAAAGAGCGCUCUUUAACUAGUUGCUCUCACCAAAAAUGCCCAAAAGUCACUGGCUCGAGCAGAUAACAAGCUGCGUCCGGGAAGUCAGCUAAGCGAGUAAACUCGUGCUAGUGCAUCAUGUAUUUCAUCCCAACUCUUAUUUGACGCCCGUUAACUCUGUUACAUUAUUCGUAAAAGGCGCACCUCCCCGCCCACUCGCUUCGGUACAUGUAGAAUGGGCCGCCCGUUAGCCACGAGCGGGAAAGCUUCUUGUUUUGUGAGGCUUCCGGUCAGUUUCUUUUUGUUCUUUUGAUUUUCCGGACUGUUUUUAUUCUUUUUUCUUUCUUCUUUUCUUUUUCUUUUCCUUUUCUUUUUAAAAUAUUUUCUUAAUGAACUUUUCCCAAAUUCGAAAACAUUCUAAAAUAAAUUGUACAAUAUUUUCAAAUUAGGGGAUAUUUUUUCCAAACCACUUAAAAUUUUCUUUAAAUUCAUAAUUCUUUUUUCAAAAUCCAUGAACAGUUUUUAAAUUCAUGAACCUUUUCCCAAAAUUGAUGAUAUUUCAUUAAAUCCGUGAAUUUUAUUUGACUUUGUGAACUUUUUGCCAAAAUCAUGAACUUCCUUCGAAUUCUGUGAAGUUUUUGUUUUUUAUGAACUUUUUUGAAUACCUUUUAAAUGAAUUUUCUUGAAAAGUCAACAGUCAAUCGCGACCGAUCAACCACGACUAGUGAACUGGGAAAACCGACGAGCGAGGGAUCGAUGGCCUAAUUGUUGAGCCCGCCCAUGAGUGGUGGCGCUUAAGCCGCUGGGCAGGAGCCCUUGUUUACGGAAUUUCCUAUUUGCCGCAAUUUGCGGCAAACAGUUGACCAAUCGCACACCCAACCCAUACCAGAUCGAUAGAAUGGACCGGCCCAGCUGAAGGUGCAAGCUGAUGGUUUUGUGAACUUUCUGGAAGGUUCUUGGCCGGUUUUAGGAACCUUCUAGAAGGUUCCUAAACCUGUUUUUUCUGUCUUUUCACGUUUUCUCGGUUUUGUUUUUCUUUUUUGUUAUUUUUUCGAUUUUAUCUAUUUGUUUUUUCUUUUUCUUUUAUUUCCUCUUUUUCAUUUUUCUUUAUUGUUUCUUUUUCCUUUAAAUAAUUGUUCAAUCUUUAUAAACAAUAUUCAAAAGUUUCCAAAUUUGUUCAUGUUCGAAAAAUUGUUUGCAUUUUUGCUAAAACUGUUCAGAAUUUCUAAAUUUGUUCAAGUUUUCAUACAUGGCUCUAAGUUGCAAAUAUUGUUCAAGUUUUAUAACAUUGUUCUUAUUUUCAGCAAACGUUCGGAAUUUCCAACAUUGUUCAGGUUUUCCAAAAAUGUUCUGAGUUUCAAAAUGUUAUUCAUGCUUUCAAAAAUUGUUCACUAUGUCAAAAUAUGCUUGGAAUAUCAAAAUUUAUUUAGGUUUUUCAAACAGUUCUGAUUUUCAAAUUAUUGUUCACGUUUUCAAAAAUUGUGCACAAUUUCAAAAAAUGUUUGGAGUUUAAAAUUUUGUUCGCAUUUUCAAAAAUUGUUCGUAGUUUCCAAAAUUAUUUAAAAUAUUAAUUUUUGUUCUCAUUUAGAAAAAUCAAAAAUUUUCCAAUUUUUCAAAGAUCAUUCAUGUUUUCAAAAAAUUCCAUUUUUGAAAAAAUUGUUCAGAGAUUCAAAAGAUGUUUGCGUACUAGAAAAUGUUCAUGGAUUUCAAAAAAUGUUCGUGUUUACAAAUUUUGUUUGAAUUUUUGAAAAUUGUGCCCGUUUUUGAAAAUUGUUCACAUAUUAGAAAAGUGUUUGGGUUUUGAAAAUUUGUUCAUGUUCUUUUUAAAAAUGGAAUCAAAAUUGUUUAGAAUUCCAAUUUUUAUCUUCAUUUUCGAAACAAUAUGCGACAUUUAUUUAUUUUUUAAAAUCACAAAACGAUCAUACAUUUUUGUAAAGAUUGUUUUAAUGAGUCGGUUCAUUGAGAUCUUGAUAUGCUCGCGCUCUUGUUAUUUCAGUAGCAGGUAGCAUGCGUUGAGGACUCGCAUGUCGCGAGUUCGAUCCCUGUCGGCUCCUCGCUAAUUUUAUUUUUUUUGCUUGCGCUCCCUUUUGUUUCCUGUUAGUGGGCCGGCCAAUCGCGGGGUCCUCUGUGCGUCUGCUCGCUGUUGGACGCAAAGAGCGUUCAAUAGGAGCUCCCCUUGUUUACGGUGGUUCCUAUUUGACGCUUGCGUGCGUCGAGGAGACGUGGCUUCGCUGAAGCGCGGGAGAAGAUGCGCGCGAUGGGCCGGCCCACUUCGCUAGUUAAUGCAGUUCCAGGCAAACCGGUUAUGGGAACCUUCUUCUAGAAGGUUCCCUAAACCGGUUUCUUUUCUCUUUUGCCGGUUUUCUGUUCUUCCUGUUUCUUUAUUCUUUUCUUCUUCAGUUUCUUUAUUUUGUUUCUUUUUCUUUUUUACUCCUCUUCUUAUUUUAUACUUUUUCGUUUUUAUUUCCUCCUUUGUUUCAAAAAAGUUUAAAACUUCGUAUUUUCUUCAUGAUUUCAUAAAAACAAAUAUUUUUAAAAUUCUGUUCACAAUUCAAAAUUCGUUCAACGCACAUUACAGAAAUGUUCAAUGUAUUUUUAAAUUUUGUUCGGUUUAUAUCACAAAAAUGUUCAGUAUAUAUUUCAAAUUGUUCAGCGUAUAAUACAAAUAUGUUCAAUGUAUAUUUAAAAAUUUGUUCAUCUUUUUGGAAUUUCGAAUUUUUUGUUUAACUUUUUAAUAAUGAUUCACGUUUAAAAAGUUGUUCAAAUUUCAAAAAUUGUUCAUGGUUUGAAAAAGGGUUUCACAUUUGUCAAAUUUUGUUCAGGAUUUUCAAUUUUUUGUUCUCGAGUUUCUUCAAUUGUUCAUAAAUUUUCAAAAGUUAUCGUGUACUUUAAGCUCUUGUGCUACUUGCAAAUCAGUACAACAUAUCAGCUCGACUGGUUUGGUUGUAAAAUUCCCGAGCGGGACGUCGAUCUCUCGCUGGCGCCUGGUAUUUUUGGCGUUUUUUUACGCGAUUGAGCUAUUGACCUUCAAAUGUGCCGGCCCAUCUGUAUCUACCUUCAGCGAAAGCUGCUUUGCCUGACGCUAACGAGCGUCAAGACAGGAGCUCUCCUUGUUUACAACUCGCAAGCGACAAACAGAUGUGCCUUCGCCUGCAGCGCCCAUGGGUGGCUCGGCCCAGUUCGUGGCAAGCGAACUCGUCGUUUGCUGCUUUUUUUCGUUCUUUUUUUCUGUUUACUAUUUCCUUUUUGUGUGUUUCUUUCUGGUUCGUCUAUGUUUUUUAUCUUCUUUUGUUUGUUUGGUUUUACCUUUCCGGUUUUCUAUGUCCCUUGUCAUUUAUUUGUUUCAUUUUUACAUAAAUUCUAACUUAAAAAAACUGAGGUUAUCAAAAUUCCAAAUGUAGGUCAUAAUUGUUCAUGUUUUUUGAAAUCACCAUUUAAAAUAUUUUUCUCAUUUUAGAAUAAACAUGUUAAUGGUUUCAAAUCUUGAUCAUUUUUUAAUACUAUUUUCUAAAUUUUCUUUAAAAUUAUAAAAUUUGUUUAGAAUUCAAAUUGUUCGCAAUUUCAAAAACUAUUCAUAUUUUUCUGAAAUGUUUGUUUCCUUUUUCAAAAUUUAUUCAUGUAUUUAAAAUCUGGUUCGCCUUUUGAAAAUCCUAUUCACCAUUAAAAAAUGGUUAGAAUUCAAGAUUUGUUUGUGACUAGAAAUUUUUUCACAUAUUUGCUCAUGUCUUCAAAAAUUGUUCUCAUUUUACAAAAUUUACUGUGUAGAAAUUGGUCCCCAAAAAAAUUUGGUUAUGAAAAAAAAAUCGAAUUUGUAACUUUGAUUCUCUUUUUAAGUAAUAUUCCUGUUUUCCACAUAUUAUUUGAUAUUUAAAAAAAUGCUUGGAAUUUUCUAUUUUUUGUUGACAAUUUUCGUGAAUUGAUCGGAAAAAAAAUCAGAAGAGGUUUGCUUCUGCCGCUGGAAUUGGUUCUUAAAGUUUGGCGGUGCGGAUCGAACACUAGAAAUCAUUAUGUUAAUAUUUUAGGAACACAUGUUCACUAGAGGGACGUCACGAGUUCGAGUCUCGCGCAACACUUUUUGGCAACUUUAUUUGGGUGUCUCGAGUACGUUUGCUCCAAAUGGCCCGGCCCAUUUGGUCCUACCUUCAGCGAAGGUUCAACUAUUUGCCGCCUAUGGGUGGAAAAUAGGAGCUCUCAUAUUUCUUUUAGCAUCACGCAAAAAAAUGUAUUUAUUUUAGCAGGGGUCCUCAUGUAUGAGAACAUACUCUAUGCACCUAGAGAACUUGUGCAUCAGGUGCACCAACUACUUAUUGGUCGUCUGAUGGAGAAGGAAGCGACCACAUUAAGCUGCGACCUAGUCACUGGCACAUUUACUGAAAGCCCAUAGAAUCUUUAUAUUUUCCCCCUCCCCUCCCCUCAAAAAAAGAUGAGACAAUCCUUGGUGAGCUCGCUCUUCCAUCAUUUCCACUCGGGGGUUCCAUAGUUCUAUUGGAAAAAUUCCUUUUGAUCUAAGUGGAAGGAUACAUAAUUUUUUACUAGAAAUUGCGCUCGCUAUAAAAUAAAAGUUUCAAUUUGGGUUUUCCCGCAACUAAAGAAAAAGAAGAUCGUGCAUUUCAGUCAAAUUCAGAUCCGUUUUUCUAGUCCAUGAUAUAAUAUAACCAAAUUGGAUAGAUCUUCCACUUGUUUAGCUAAGAAAGAACAGAUACAGAGGUGGAUAAUAGAUCGUUUAUUUGUAAUUUGUUUGAACAAGGAGCAUAAAAAAGUUUGGUUUCUAUGAAAAACGAGAGUACUUUAUUAAUUCAAAAUAACAAUUACAUCGUCCAUGAGCAGGGGUACAAUAUUCUUCGGAGUUUGCUCAAACCAAUCAUAAGUCGUAGAAAACGUAGCUAACUUCGUAAGCUCAUGAGUGACCUUAUUUGCUAUCCUGUUACAUUGUUCAAAACUAGUUAAAGGAAAUCACAAACCAAAUGAUAACACUCAUAAAAAACAACACUCGUCGCUCGUCCUAUAUUCUUCAUGGUUUUGAUAACCACCAAAUUAUCCGAGUUGGUAACAAGUUGAUUGCAUCCAAACCUUUGCGCAAGCGAUAAUCCAAAUCUUAGCGCCAAUGUCUAAGCCAUUAGGACAUCCGUGCACCAAUCAAUUCUCAAAUUUUCCCCAACAAUAAAAUUACCUUUGUGAUCUCUUUGAGCAGCACCAGUUGUACCCCUUAGCAAGUCUCGAUCGAAGGAAACAUUAAAUUUGAGUUUUCCAAAAACCUUAGGGGCCUAAUCCAACGUAAAUGCAAUUCGGCUCCCGGGAGCACGUGCUCCUGCCUAUGGAAAAUGAAUGUGAAAUGUCAAAAAAAUCCCGAAUUUUUUUAUGUGUUCUUUGUCACAUGCUACCUCAAAAUUCUUAGGCAAAAAGGGUAAGCAUUUUGGCAUGCGCAAAAAAAAAACAAAUUGAACAUCAAUUGUUAGCCCCAAAAUGUCACACCAGAAUUUGUUUUUUUCACCGACGAUACAAUGGUUCUCCAUUUCGCAUGAAAAUUGUCAAUCAUGCUUGCGACACUAACAUGAGUAUCUACAAAAAAAAUCAAAUUUCUUUUAAAAAAUAAUGUUAUAUUUGAUUUUGUUGUUCAUCAAGGUACAAAUGCACCUGGGAGCCAAAACACCUAGCCCCUAAUCCAACCCCCUCUUUUCAUGGUAGCAGUUGCAGAGGAAGCAAUCACAUAACUAGACGUAAGCGCCUGGAUCCCCAUGUCAAUUUGAUUGCCAUCUUGAGGUGUCUCCUCAUGGACCAGUUUGCGCCUUUCCCACCAUAAGUACCAAGUGGUAAUGGCUAUCAUCCCAAGCACAUUCUGAAUACCCAAAAGAGAUAACUUCUGAUCAGGUAGAAGAAGUAGAAACUCAAGUACAACCUUGAUACGUCCAUUUUGCAUCAUGUCUUUCUAUUAUUAUGUAUAGUGUUUUUAAUCAAUAUAACACUUUACAGAGCAAUUCUAAUGUCUUUUCUCUCUUAAUAUGCAAGAUUUACAUGAAGAAAGAGAUUGUCGGCAACUGGAAUUCUGGACCUGCAAAAGCUAUAUCGGAGAUAACUAUUCUCCACAUCUCCAAAUGAGCUAAAAUUUCACGGAGAUUUAUUUUGAAAUAAAUAAAAAAUAUUGGAGAAAAGAAAUACUAGAGGGGGACACCAAGGUGCCCACGAGGCACCAGGGCGCGCCCACCCCCCAUGGGCGCGCCCUGGUGGCUUGUGGGCCCCUGGCCAGCCUCCGGUGCCCAUCUUCUGGUAUAUAAGCUCAUUUGCCCUCGAAAAAAAUAAGGAGAAUACUUUUGGGAUGGAGUGUCGCCGUCUCAAGGGGGAACUUGGGCAGGAGCACUUUUGCUCUCCAGCGGAGCAAUUCCGCCUAGGAUAUUUCCCUCCGAGAGGGGAAAUCGAAGCCAUCAUCAUCACCAACAACCCUCUCAUCAUGGGAGGACCAAUCUUCAUCGACAUCUUCACCGACACCAUCUCAUCUAAAAUCCUAGUUCAUCUCUUGUAUUCAAUCGUUGUAUCAAAACAUCAGAUUGGUACCUAUGGGUUGCUAGUAGUGUUGAUUACAUCUUGUAGUUGAUGCAAGUUGGUUUAUUUGGUGGAAGAAUAUAUGUUCAGAUCCAUUAUGCUAUUCAAUACCCCUGUGAUCUUGGACAUGAAUAUGAUGUGCGAGUAGUUACUUUUCUUCUUGAGGACAUGGAAGAAGUCUUGUCACAAGUAAUCAUGUGAAUUUGGUAUUUGUUCAUUAUUUUUGAUGAUAUGUAUGUUGUUGUUUCCCUUAGUGGUGUUAUGUGAACGUUGACUACAUGACACUUCACCAUCUUUGGGCCUAAGGGAAUGCAUUAUGGAGUAGUUAUUAGAUGAUGAGUUGCUAGAGUGAGAGAAUCUUAAACCCAAGUUUAUGCGCUAUUUCGUAAGGGGCUGAUUUAGAUCUAUAUGUUUAAUGCUAUGGUUAGAUAUAUCUUAAUUCUUAUUUCAUAGUUGCGGAUGCUUGCGAGAGGGGUUACUCAUAAGUGGGAGGUUUGUUCAAAUAAGAACAACACCCAAGCACCGGUACACCCACAUAUCAAAUUAUCAAAGUAGCGAACGCGAAUCAAAUAAUCAUGAUGAAAGUGACUAGAUGAAAUUCCCUUAUGUCCUCAAGAACACUUUGCUUAUUAUAAGGGGCCGUUCCGAACUGUCCUUUUCUACAAAAUGGAUUGGGCUACCUUGCUGCUCCUUAGUUACUAUUCUUACUUGUUACAAAUUAUCUUGCUAUCAAACUACUCGCUACCGAUAAUUUCAGUGCUUUGCAGAAAAUACCUUGGUGGAAACCGCUUGUCAUUUCCUUCCGCUGCUCGUUGGGUUCGACACUCUUACUUAUCGAAAAGACUAUGAUUGAUCCCCUAUACUUGUGGGUCAUCAAGAAUAUUUUCUAGGGCCGUUGCCGGGGAGUGAAGCGCCUUUGGUGAGUGGAAUUUGGUAAGGAAACAUUUAUAUUACGUGCUGAAGUUUACUGUUACUUGUUACUAUGGAAAACAAUCCUUUGUGGGGGUUUUUCGGGGUAUAUUCACCUCGACUGAAAGCACAAAGAGUUACUCCUCAACCUACUACACCUACUGAAAAUACUUAUUAUGAGAUUCCUUCGGGUAUGAUAGAGAAAUUGCUAGCUAAUCCUUAUGCAAGAGAUGGAACAAUACAUCCUGAUAUGUGAUACGUCCAUUUUGCGUCAUGCUUUUAUAUCGAUAUUUAUUGCAUUAUGGGCUGUUAUUACACAUUAUGUCACAAUACUUAUGCCUUUUCUCUCUUAUUUUACAAGGUUUGCAUGAAGAGAGAGAAUGCCGCCAGCUGGGAUUCUGGGCCGGAAAUGGAGCAAAUAUUAGAGAUCUAUUCUGCACAGCUCCUAAAGUCCUGAAACUCCACGAAAGUCAGUUUUGGAAUAUAUUAAAAAUAUUGGACGAAGAAAGCACCAGAGGGGGGCCACCCACUGUCCACAAGAGUGGGGGGCGCGCCCCCUGCCUCAUGGGCCACCUGGAAGCCCCCUGAUGCCCAUCUUCUGGUAUAAGCUGUCUUUUGCCUUGGAAAAAAUCAUAAGGAAGCUUUCGGGACGAAGCUCCACCCUCUCGAGGCGGAACCUGGGCGAAAACAAUCUAGGGCUCCGGCGGAGCUGUUCUGCCGGGGAAACAUCCCUCCGGGAGGGGGAAAUUGUCACCAUUGUCAUCACCAUCGAUCCUCUCAUCGAGAGGGGGUCAAUCUUCAUCAGCAUCUUCACCAACACCAUCUCCUCUCAAACCCUAGUUCAUCUCUUGUAUCCGAUCUUUGUCUCAAAAUCUCAGAUUGGUACCUAUGGGUUCUUAGUAGUGUUGAUUACUCCUUGUAGUUGCUGUUAGUUGGUUUUUUCGAUGGAAGAUCAUAUGUUCAGAUCCUUUAUGCAUAUUAAUACCCCUCUGAUUAUGAACAUGAAUAUGAUUUGUGAGUAGUUACGUUUGUUCCUGAGGACAUGGGAGAAGUCUUGUGAUAAGUAGUCAUGUGAAUUUGGUAUUCGUUCGAUAUUUUGAUGAGAUGUAUGUUGUCUCUCCUCUAGUGGUGUUAUGUGAACGUCGACUAGAUGACACUUCACCAUUGUUUGGGCCUAGGGGGAAGUCAUUGGGAAGUAAUAAGUAUAUGAUGGGUUGCUAGAGUGACAGAAGCUUAAACCCUAGUUUAUGCGUUGCUUCAUGAGGGGCUGAUUUGGAUCCAUAUGUUUCAUGCUAUGGUUAGGUUUACCUUAAUUCUUCUUUCAUAGUUGCCGAUGCUUGCGAGAGGGGUUAAUCAUAAGUGGGAUGCUUGUCCAAGGAAGGGCAGUACGCAAGCACCGGUCCACCCACAUAUCAAAUUAUCAAAGUAAUGAACGCGAAUCAUAUGAGCAUGAUGAAAACUAGCUUGACGAUAAUUCCCAUGUGUCCUCAGGAGCGCUUUCCUUUAUAUAUGAGUUUGUCCAGGAUUUUCCUUUGCUACAAAAAGGAUUGGGCCACCUUGAUGCACCUUGUUACUUUUGUUACUUGUUACCCGUUACGAAUUAUCUUAUCACAAAACUAUCUGUUACCGAUAAUUUUAGUGCUUGCAGAGAAUACCUUACUGAAAACCGCUUGUCAUUUCCUUCUGUUCCUCGUUGGGUUCGACACUAUUACUUAUUGAAAGGACUAUGAUAGAUCCCCUAUACUUGUGGGUCAUCAAGACUAUUUCCUGGCGCCGUUUCCGGGGAGUGAUGCGCCUUUGGUAGGUGGAAUUUGGUAAGGAAAAAAUUAUAUAUUGUGCUGAAAUUUACUGUCACUUGUUACUAUGGAAAAUAAUCCUUUGAGGGGCUUGUUCGGGGUAUCUUCACCCCGACCAGUAGAGAAAAGAGUUGCUCCUCAACCUACUGAACCUACUGAAAAUGUUUACUUUGAAAUUCCUUUGGGUAUGAUAGAGAAACGACUAGCUAAUCCUUUUACAGGAGAUGGGACAUUACAUCCCGAUAUGCACCUAAACUAUGUGGAUGAAGUUUGUGGAUUAUUUAAGCUUGCAACUAUGCCCGAGGAUGUUAUCAAGAAGAAGGUCUUCCCUUUAUCGUUGAAGGGAAAGGCAUUGACAUGGUUUAGGCUAUGUGAUGAUAUUGGAUCAUGUAACUACAACCGAUUGAAAUUGGAAUUCUCCAGGAGCGUUUGCGGAUCUUCCGCGCAGCAUAUCAGAUGCUGCAGAGUUCUACUGAGCCGAAGAAGGGAGCUCGACGGAGAAGCUGUUCUGGUCUCAAUACCUUGGACCAGAACAUCCGAUGCCCUUGAGCGACCAGCUGAAGCAGCUGGUCGAACUGCACAAGGCGGCCGAACUAGCCAUGAAGGACCUUGAUACGUCCAUUUUGCAUCAUGCUUUUAUACCGAUAUUUAUUGCAUUAUGGACUGUUAUUACACGUUAUGUCACAAUACUUAUGGCUAUUCUAUCUUAUUUUACAAGGUUUACAUGAAGAUGGAGAAUGCCGACAGCUGGGAUUCCGGGCUGGAAAAGGAGCAAAUAUUAGAGACCUAUUUUGCGCAGCACCAAAAGUCCGGAAACUCCACGAAAGUCAUUUUUGGAAUUAAUAAAAAAUAUUGGCGAAGGAAUCAACGUCAGGGGGCCCACACCCUAUCCAUGAGGGUGGGGGCGUGCCCACCCCCUAGGGCGCGCCCCCCUGCCUCGUGGGCCCCCUGACAGGCCUCCGGUGCCCAUCUUCUGCUAUAUGAAGUCUUUUACCCUGGAAAAAAUCAUAAGCAAGCUUACGGGAUGAAACUCCGCUGCCACGAGGCGGAACCUUGGCGGAACUAAUCUAGGGCUCCGGUGGAGCUGUUUUGCCAGGGAAACUUCCCUCUGGGAGGGGGAAAUCAUCACCAUCAUCAUCACCGACGAUCCUCUCAUCGGGAGGGGGUCAAUCUCCAUCCACAUCUUCACUAGCACCAUCUCCUCUCAAACCCUAGUUCAUCUCUUGUAUCCAAUCUUUGUACCAAAACCUCAGAUUGGUACCUGUGGGUUGCUAGUAGUGUUUAUUACUCCUUGUAGUUGAUGCUAGUUGGUUUAUUUGGUGGAAGAUCAUAUGUUCAGAUCCUUAAUGCAUAUCAAUACCCCUCUAAUUAUGAACAUGGAUAUGAUUUGUGAGUAGUACUUUUGUUCCUGAGGACAUGGGAGAAGUCUUGCUAUAAGUAGUCAUGUGAAUUUGGUAUUCGUUCGAUAUUUUGAUAAGAUGUAUGUUGUCUAUCCUCUAGUGGUGUUAUGUGAACGUCGACUACAUGACACUUCACCAUUGUUUGGGCCUAGAGGAAGGCAUUGGGAAGUAAUAAGUAGAUGAUGGGUUGCUAGAGUGACAGAAUCUUAAACCCUAGUUUAUGCGUUGCUUCGUAAGGGGCUGAUUUGGAUCCACAUGUUUCAUGCUAUGGUUAGGUUUACCUUAAUACUUAUUUUGUAGUUGCGGAUGCUUGCAAUAGGGGUUAAUCAUAAGUGGGAUGCUUGUGCAAGAAAGGGCAGUACCCAAGCACCGGUCCACCCACAUAUCAAAUUAUCAAAGUAACGAACGCGAAUCAUAUGAGCGUGAUGAAAACUAGCUUGACGAUAAUUCACAUGUGUCCUCGGGAGCGCUUUUCUCAUAUAAGAACUUGUCUAGGCUUGUCCUUUGCUACAAAAAGGAUUGGGCCACCUUGCUGCACCUUAUUUACUUUCAUUCCUUGUUACCCGUUACAAAUUAUCUUAUCACAAAACUAUCUGUUACCUACAAUUUCAGUGCUUGCAGAGAAUACCUUACUGAAAACCGCUUGUCAUUUCCUUAUGCUCCUCGUUGGGUUCGACACUAUUACUUAUCGGAAGGACUACAAUAGAUCCCCUACACUUGUGGGUCAUCAAGACUCUUUUCUGGCGCCGUUGCCAGGGAGUGAAGCGCCUUUGGUAAGUGGAACUUGGUAAGGAAAAAUUGAUAUAGUGUGCUGAAAUUUACUGUCACUUGUUACUAUGGAAAAUAAUCCUUUGAGGGGCUUGUUCGGGGUAUCUUCACCCCGACAGUAGAGCAAAGAGUUGCUCCUCAACCUAUUGAACCUACUGAAAAUGUUUACUUUGAAAUUCCUUCGGGUAUGAUAGAGAAACGUCUAGCUAAUCCUUUUACAGGAGAUGGAACAUUACAUCCCGAUAUGCACCUAAACUAUGUGGAUGAAGUUUGUGGAUUAUUUAAGCUUGCAGGUAUGCCCGAGGAUGUUAUCAAGAAGAAGGUCUUCCCUUUAUCUUUGAAGGGAAAUGCAUUGACAUGGUUUAGGCUAUGUGAUGAUAUUGGAUCAUGGAACUACAACCGAUUGAAAUUGGAAUUUCAUCAGAAGUUUUAUCCUUUGCAUCUUGUUCAUCGUGAUCAUAAUUAUAUAUAUAAUUUUUGGCCUCGUGAAGGAGAAUGUAUAGCUCAAGCUUGGGGGAGGCUUAAGUCAAUGUUAUGUUCAUGCCCCAAUCGUGAGCUCUCAAGAGAAAUUAUUAUUCAAGAAAUGUAUGCUCGACUUUCUCUCAAAAAUCGCUCCAUGCUCGAUACUUCUUGUACUAGUUCUUUUAUGAUGAAGACUAUUGAAUUCAAAUGGGAUUUAUUGGAAAGAAUUAAAUGCAACUUUGAAGAUUGGGAUCUCGACAAAGGUAAGGAGUCAGGUAUAACAUCUAAGUUUGAUUGUGUUAAAUAUUUUAUGGAUACCGAUGCUUUUUGUGAAUUUAGCACUAAAUAUGGACUUGACUCUGAGAUAGUAGCUUCUUUCUGUGAAUCAUUUGCUACUCAUGUUGAUCUCCCUCAAGAGAAGUGGUUUAAAUAUCAUCCUACCAUUGAAGUAAAAGUAGUUGAACCUAUUAAAGUUGAAGAAAAGACUAUCACUUAUAAUGUUGAUCCUAUUGUUCCUACCGCUUAUAUUGAGAAACCACCUUUCCCUGUUAGAAUAAAGGAUCAUGCUAAAGCUUCAACUGUGGUUCGUAAGAGUAAUGCUAGAAGACCUACACCUUCUGAUCAAAUUAAAGUUGAACCUAGUAUUGCUACGGUUAAGGAUCUCUUGGUCGAUAAUAUUGAUGGCAUGUUAUUUACUUAUGUGAUGAAGCUGCUAGAAUUGCUAGACCCGAUACUAAAAAUAAACAUAGGCCUAUUGUUGGCAUGCUUGUUGUUUUUGUUAAAAUAGUAGAUCAUUGUUAUCAUGGCUUAUGCGAUACGGGUGCUAGUGCGAGCCCAAUACCUCAUUCCUUAUACAAAGAAAUUAUGCAUGAUAUUGCACCUGCUGAGAUAGAAGAUAUUGAUGUUACAACUAAGCUUGCUAAUAGAGAUACUAUUUCACCAAUUGGGAUUGUUAGAGAUGUUGAAGUCUUGUGUGGAAAAGUUAAAUAUCCUACUGAUUUUCUUGUUCUUGGUUCCCCACAAGAUGACUUUUGUCCCAUUAUAUUUGGUAGACCCUUCUUGAAUACUGUUAAUGCUAAGAUAGAUUGCGAAAAGGAUAUUGUUACUGUUGGUUUAGGGGACAUGUCUCAUGAUUUUAAUUUUGCUAAAUUCUGUAGAUAACCCCAUGAUAAAGAAUUGCCUAGCAAAGAUGAAAUUAUUGGUCUUGCUUCUAUUGUCGUUCCUCCUAAUGAUCCUUUAGAACAAUAUUUCCUUGACCAUGAAAAUGAUAUGUUUGUGAAUGAAAGAAGGGAAAUAGAUGAAGUAUUCUUUAAAUAGGGACCUAUUUUGAAACACAACUUGCCUAUUGAAAUCCUAGGGGAUCCUCCUCCACCCAAGGGUGAUCCCGUGUUUGAGCUUAAACCAUUACCUGAUACUCUUAAAUAUGCUUAUAUUGAUGAAAAUAAGAUAUAUCCUGUUAUUAUUAGUGCUAACCUUUCAGAGCAGGAAGAAACGAAAUUAUUGAAAAAAAUCUAAAGAAGCACCGUGCUGCUAUUGGAUAUACUCUUGAUGAUCUUAAGAGAAUUAGUCCCACUCUAUGCCAACACAAAAUAAAAUUGGAGAAAGACGCUAAACCAGUUGUUGAUGACCAACGGCGGUUAAAUCCUAAGAUGAAAGAAGUGGUAAGAAAUGAAAUACUAAAGCUUCUAGAGGCAGGUAUAGUUUAUCCUAUUGCUGAUAGUCAGUGGGUAAGUCCUGUCCAUUGUGUCCCUAAGAAGGGAGGUAUUACUGUUGUUCCUAAUGAUAAAGAUGAAUUGAUCCCACAAAGAAUUGUUACAGAUUAUAGAAUGGUAAUUGAUUUCCGCAAAUUAAAUAAAGCUACUAGAAAAGAUCAUUACCCUUUACCUUUUAUUGAUCAAAUGCUAGAAAGAUUAUCCAAACAUACACAUUUUGCUUUCUAGAUGGUUAUUCUGGUUUCUCUCAAAUACCAGUGUCAAAAGAGGAUCAAGAUAAGACCACUUUUACUUGCCCUUUUGGUACCUUUGCUUAUAGACGUAUGCCGUUUGGUUUAUGUAAUGCACCUGCUACCUUUCAAAGAUGUAUGACUGCUAUAUUCUCUGACUUUUGUGAAAAGAUUGCUAAGGUUUUCAUGCAUGAUUUCUCCGUGUAUGGAACUUCUUUUGAUGAUUGCUUAAGCAACCUCGAUCGAGUCUUGUAGAGAUGUGAAGAAACUGAUCUUGUCUUGAAUUGGGAGAAGUGCCACUUUAUGGUUAAUGAAGGUAUUGUCUUGGGGCAUAAUAUUUCUAAAAGAGGUAUUGAGGUUGAUAAAACUAAAGUUGAUGCUAUUGAAAAGAUGCCAUGUCCCAAGGACACUAAAGGUAUAAGAAGUCUCCUUGGUCAUGCCAGUUUCUAUAGGAGGCUCAUUAAAGACUUCUCAAAAAUUUCUAGGCCUCUGACUAAUCUCUUACAAAAAGAUGUUCCUUUUGUCUUUGAUGAUGAUUGUGUAGAAGCAUUUGAAAUACUUAAGAAAGCCUUGAUUUCUGCACCUAUUGUUCAACCACCUGAUUGGAAUUUACCCUUUGAAAUCAUGUGUGAUGCUAGCGAUUAUGCUGUAGGUGUUGUUCUAGAAGAGUUGAUAAGAUAUUAAAUGUUAUCCAAUAUGCUAGUAAAACUCUAGACAGUGCCCAGAGAAAUUAUGCUACUACUGAGGAGGAAUUUUUAGCAGUUGUAUUUGCUUGUGAUAAGUUCAGACCUUAUAUUGUGGAUUCCAAAGCAACUGUUCACACUAAUCAUGCUGCUAUUAAAUACCUUCUGGAAAAGAAAGAUGCUAAACCUAGACUUAUUAGAUGGGUUCUCUUGCUACAAGAAUUUGAUUUGCAUAUUAUUAAUAGAAAGGGAGCUGAGAACCCCGUUGCAGAUAACUUGUCUAAGUUAGAAAAUGUUCUUGAUGACCCAGUACCUAUUGAUGAUAGCUUUCCUGAUGAACAAUUAGCUGUCAUAAAUGCUUCUCCUACUGCUCCAUGGUAUGCUAAUUACAUUGUUGCUAAAUUUAUACCACCUAGUUUCACAUACCAGCAAAAGAAAAAGUUCUUCUAUGAUUUAAGACACUACUCUUGGGAUGACCCACACCUUUAUAAAGAAGGAGUAGAUGGUGUCAUUAGACCUUGUGUACCUGAGCAUGAAUAGGAACAGAUCCUACGCAAGUGUCACUCCGAGGCAUAUGGAGGACAUCACGCGGGAGAUAGAACUGCACAGAAGGUAUUGCAAUCUGGUUUUUAUUGGCCUACUCUUUUCAAAGAUACCUAUAAGUUUGUCUUGUCUUGUGAUGAAUGUCAAAGAAUUGGUAAUAUUAGUAGACGUCAAGAAAUGCCUAUGAACUAUUCACUUGUUAUUGAACCAUUUGAUGUUUGGGGCUUUGAUUAUAUGGGACUGUUUCCUUCCUCUAAUGGGUAUACACAUAUUUUAGUUGCUGUUGAUUACGUUACUAAGUGGGUAGAAGCUAUUCCAACUAGUAGUGCUAAUCAUAACACCUCUAUUAAGAUGCUUAAAGAAGUUAUUUUUCCAAGGUUUGGAGUCCCUAGAUACUUAAUGACUGAUGGUGGUUCACAUUUUAUUCAUGCUGUUUUUCGUAAAAUGCUUGCUAAGUAUGAUGUUAAUCAUAGAAUUGCAUCUCCAUACCAUCCACAGUCUAGUGGUUAGGUAGAACUGAGUAAUAGAGAGAUUAAAUUAAUUUUGCAAAAGACUGUUAAUAGAUCUAGAAAGAAUUGGUCCAAGAAACUUGAUGAUGCAUUGUGGGCCUAUAGAACUGCAUACAAAAAUCCUAUGGGCUUGUCUCCGUAUAAAAUGGUUUAUGGAAAAGCAUGUCACUUACCUCUCGAACUAGAACAUAAGGCAUAUUGGGCUAUUAAAGAGCUAAAUUAUGAUUUCAAACUUGCUAGUGAGAAGAGGCUAUUUGACAUUAGCUCACUUGAUGAAUGGAGAACCCAGGCCUAUGAGAAUGCCAAACUGUUUAAAGAAAAAGUUAAAAGAUGGCAUGACAAAAGGAUACAAAAGUGUGAGUUUAAUGUAGGUGAUUAUGUUUUGCUAUACAACUCUCGUUUAAGAUUUUUUGUAGGAAAACUUCUCUCUAAAUGGGAAGGUCCUUACAUUAUUGAGGGGGUCUAUCGUUCCGGUGCCGUAAAAUCAACAACUUCAAAGGCACAAAUCCGAAGGUGGUGAACGGUCAAAGAAUCAAACAUUAUAUCUCACGUAAUCCCAUAAAUGUUGAAACCAAUGUUAUUGACACCGUAACCCCGGAGGAGUACAUAAGGGACACUUUUCAGAAUGUUUCAGACUCCGAAAAGGAAUAGGUAUGUGGUACGGUAAGUAAACCGACUCCAAAAUAGUUCUAAUAGCAAUUUUUCUUCGUUUUGGAUUAUUUAAGAAAAUAGGAAAAUAAGAAGUAGUCCGGAAAGGACACGAGGCAUCCACGAGGGUGGAGGGUGCGCCCUACCCCCCUGGGCGCGCCCCCUGCAUCGUGGGCACCUCGUGUGCCCUCCAGACUCCGUUUUCCUGCACGAUACUUCUUUUGGUCGGUAAAAAUUCAUUAUAAAAUCUCCCGAAGGUUUUGACCACCAUACCACGAUGAAAUCCUCUGUUUUUGUUUUGAGUUGUUUCUACCGCAGAUUAGAGCAAUAUGUCAUCCCCCUCCUCCAACAAUGUGCACGAUGAUGCUUGGCUAAUGAAGAUAGAGACGAAGCGAGAAGAAAUCAAGGAAAUCAAGGAAGGUGACAAGAUCAAGGAGGUCGCUAAGGAGCAAGUCUCAACAGUAGAAGAAGAAGGCUUCUCUCAAUCUUACUACAAUCAUCUCACCCAACUGAGAUUGAAGCUUUCAAGAUGAUUGAGCUAGCUCACAUACAAAAAAAGUAUCUCACACGUGAAUUUUUUUUGUUGCAAGAGCAUAUCACCGCACUCAAGGGCAUUAUCCGCAAGUUGGAGGAUCUCCUACGCUCGAUGUGAGACACCCCAUCAUCAACAACUCCAUCACCACCACCUCCGAAGAAAGAGACAUAAAUACAUGGGUAUGGGCACUCCCUUGGCAACUGCCAAGCUUGGGGGAUGUUCCCCGGCAUCAUAUCACAAUCACACUUCUAUCUUUACCGUUUUUCUAAGUUUGAUCCUUUGGUUAUAUCUUGAUCUAGUAGAAUAAAGUUUAGUAUGAUCUAGUUUUGAGUUUUUGUGUUGAUCCCCAUAUAUGUAAUCGAGUCCGUGAUCUAUGUAUACUAAAGAUUAGUUUUGAGUCGAGGGCUUUGCUAUCUUGCUAUGAUCUUGAGAGAAUAAAAGAAAUAGAAACAUCAUAUUGAUCUCAUGGAGAGUAAUGACUCCACACAUAAAGAGUAUGAUGAAUAAAAGUUGUUGUGAGUUGACAAACAUAGUUUUGGUCAUCGUUUGCAAUAAAUAGGAAGUAAUAAAGAAAGAGAGGUUUUCACAUAUAAAUAUACUAUCUUGGACAUCUUUUAUGAUUGUGAGCACUCACUAAAAUAUGACAUGCUAAAAAGUUGAUGUUGGACAAGGAAGACAACGUAAUGGGUUAUGUUUUCUUAUAUCCGAAAUAAAUUAUAUUGUCAUGGAUCAUCCGACAUGUUGAGCUUGCCUUUCCCCCUCAUGCUAGCCAAAAUCUUUGCACCAGUCGAGGUACUACUUGUGCCUCCAAACAUCCUUAAACCCAGUUUUGCCAUGAGAGUCCACCAUAUCUGCCUAUGAAUUGAGUAAGAUCCUUCAAGUAAGUUGUCAUUGUUGCAAGCAAUAAAAAUUGCUCUCUAAAUAUGUAUGAUCUAUUAGUGUGGAGAAAAUAAGCUUUAUACGAGCUUGUGAUAUGGAAGAAAUAAAAGCGAUGGACUGCAUAAUAAAGGUCCCUAUCACAAGUGGCAAUAUAAAGUGACAUUAUUUUUCAUUAAAAUUUUGUGCAUCCAACCAUAAAAGCACAUGACAACCUCCGCUUCCCUCUGCGAAGGGCCUAUCUUUUAUUUUUGUCUUCUACCUUAUACAAGAGUCAUGGUGAUCUUCACCUUUCCUUUUUACACUUUAUCCUUUGGCAAGCACUAUGUGUUGGAAAGAUCCUGAUAUAUAUAUAUAUAUAUAUAUAUAUAUAUAUAUAUAUAGGGUGGGUCUAUUCUAAUAACACCCCUUAAGACCUUAUUCUGGUAACACGUACGCUUAUUCUGCUAACACUGCCCCCGAACCACCCCCACCUUCUUCCCCGCGCCAUACCCCAGACCCUUCUCCACCUUCUNNNNNNNNNNNNNNNNNNNNNNNNNNNNNNNNNNNNNNNNNNNNNNNNNNNNNNNNNNNNNNNNNNNNNNNNNNNNNNNNNNNNNNNNNNNNNNNNNNNNNNNNNNNNNNNNNNNNNNNNNNNNNNNNNNNNNNNNNNNNNNNNNNNNNNNNNNNNNNNNNNNNNNNNNNNNNNNNNNNNNNNNNNNNNNNNNNNNNNNNNNNNNNNNNNNNNNNNNNNNNNNNNNNNNNNNNNNNNNNNNNNNNCCAACCACCGACCCCUGCCCCGGUGAGCCACCACCGCGCCUGUCAGCGACGGAUCCCACCUUCCACGCCUCCCUGCGCACGGCCGGCGACAGAUCCGGGCGCAACCAAUAGCCCACGCCCGGCCACGCGAUUUGGAUUCUGCCCAGUCCCCGUCACCUCAGGGGCCGCACCGCCACCGGAUCAUGGCUUCCACGGAUCAUCCCCCCGCCCCGCCUUCCUAUCCCGCCCGCCGCUGCCGCACAGGGUUGUGGCCCCCGCCCAGCCAACUACCUUCGGCGGCCAUGCCCCGCCCGGCAACCACCAGAUCCAGCAGGAUCCCGCUCCACCUCCCUUCAUCUCCCAUCUUUCACCAUGCUCCAUCUUCCUCUUGCGCCAGCUCCCUCCCAUGGCCGGCCCAAUAUGGGCUAGAUGCCUUCUCCUAGGACGGCAAUGAUGUGCCAAGAGGUACACGGUGGCGACGGCAGCAGGGAUUGUGCAUGCGCAAUCGGGAGUCCGCAUGAUGCAGUCCGGCGCCCGUGGAUGUGCAGCUCUGCUGCGUGAGAUGCGGUUUUGGGUGUUAAUGUCAAGCAGUUCGUGGGUGCGCUGGCGAUGACAGCAGCAACGGCUCCGCCUCCAGCAAGCUCAACCGGUCGUCCGCCGGUGGGAUCCUCAGGUGAGCACCGCCCCUAUUUCCCUGUUACAACAAUCGGAGGACGCCGUGCAGUUUGUUAAUUCCUGGCCCGCGGUGACCCUGUCUUCUCCGUGACUCGCCGGCACAAUGCCUCGCCGGUGCAUGGGCCAACCUACCCCAACCCCGCAGCACCCACUCUUCUGAUGGCAACCACCACCCCGCUCCUUGGAUCCUCAUCCCAAGUGCUCACCCACCGAACACCACAUCUUCUUGACCCAUCUUGUUUCCUAUGUGCAGUUUGGCGGUGCGUAGACGUACAAUGCGGUGGCACUGACAAAAACGAGAACGAUGGUGUGUGACUUGUGACCCCCCAUCUUGCCAAGAUCCCUCCGCCGCCCCUUCCCUCCCUCUCAGGUGUGCGCCCC
rnacentral:lncRNA from 1 species